AUGAGCCCUGAGAGUUUCCUAGACACCAGAUUACUUGAAAAACAUCUUUAUUGAUAUCAAUUUAUUAGAUAAAUUUAUUCAACAUUGCAUGGCUCAAGCAGGACAACCAGCAAUUAUAUUAUUGUUCUAUACAACAACAGUUUGGAAUUUGGACAUUAUGGGUCUUGCAAUAGUGUCUGAAUCGAUGUUGCAUUAUACGAUUACACAUGUCUUCGCACCUCAGGCUAUUACAGGGAUCGAGAGUCUCACAAACCACAUUAUGAACAGAUUCUGCAAAUGCAACAUGUACACACAGAUCAAACAAGAUAUAUUAGCAAUGUGUUGAGUAAUUUGAACAACAGGAAAGUUCACAAAAAAUAGGGGUAUAAAAUGCUACAUACCAGUGCCUGCAUUGCAGGAGUGGAAGGUAGAACACAUAACGGAAAGCACCAUGAAAGCAAUAGCUAUGGAACACAUGAGUGUCGGCCAUCCUGUACUGUUCUUAGCGAGUGCCACGAGGACAAAGAGAUUAGUUUUUUUUCUGCUUCUCUUUCCUUCUUAUGUUCCUAUGUGAUCACUCCCUAUAUAUAGAGAGACACAAUAACAUCUUAGAUAAUGAUGUCACAUUCAUGUAUUUCCCCUACCAAUAUUUUUGCCAAAUCUUGCCGAUUCAAGAUAAAUUUUGUUCGCCCUUUUAUGUGGAUCAAUGACAUUUAUUUUAUAUGUAUUUGCAUGGUAAUGCUAGUAUUUAUGAUGAUUCACAAUCAAGUAUUAGGCAAUGAUCCUAGAGUUAGAAGAAAUCCCGGAGUGCUAUUAAUGUUGCAAUACUAAAAGAAGAAUACCUUUUUAUAUUUAUACUUGAAAAUGGCCAGUAAGUCUUUUAUCUUGUCGUAUUUAUGGGGAAGGGUGGUGAAACCCUAGCUAUUGAUCAUGCACUUAUGUAUCUCUCACUAAUUAAUAUUGACAUAUCUUGCUAGUUUAAAUAGUUAUAGUGUGCUUGUUCAAAUAACAUAAACAAAGAGACAUAUCUCUAGAGAAUGACAGAAUAAAUAUAGUGCUUACUUAAAUUAAUGAAAUAGCACAUGUGACAUUUAUUUAUUUGAAUAGAAGAAAAUAUAAAAUAUAAAAUUGUUAUUUUUCUUUUAAAGUGUGGAAGAAUAUAAAUGCAAUAUUUCUUAAAUACAUUGAACUGUGUGGCCCUCGAUAUUUGUAAUAACAAGAUAUACAACAUUCAAUAGUAUGACAUAAAUACAAUAUAUAGAAGAGAUACAUAGCUCACCAUCAACUUCAGGGACAUAUAAAUGCGAUAUUAGUACAAAAGAUAUGCUUGCCUGUUGUAUAAAUGCCCAGUUCUAAGGAUGGCAUCCUUCCUUUUGUAUUUUAGCACCAUCAUUAAUAGAUAAGCAAAAAUAUGUAACACAAAUCAGAUUUAAAGUAAAAAAGUGAAUACAAAAUAAGAUGUGCGACAUUAUAUGUCCAGUAGAAUGAUUUGGAAAAUCCAUGUACACCAUUGAUGCAAAUGUUAUCUGAUGCCAAAACGAUUGUUUAGACUAAAAUAGAGGGUGCUAGUGAAACCAAGUUAAGGAUAAAACAACUAAUGCUCCUUGAUCUCUUUCUGUCCAUGAGAGCUUGAAUGACUCUUGGAUGGAAUUCCUUAAAAGUUUAUACCUUUCAAACACAUGUGUGUAACUUUGUAGAUACGCUAAUUAACAAGCACCACACAACUAUUCCGAACAUUUGACUUCCUAACAGAUCAUGUGAUGAUAGGACAUGUAGAUAAUAAAAGCUCUCUCAGAUCCUGUGCCACUCCUUUUUCUGUAAUUGAAGUCAAGUGCAGGUAAAUACUAAAGAAAACAAUUUGAUUUCUAUAAACUGAAAUCAGACAAAACAAAUGCUCCAAGCGUCAUGUACCAACAUCCUAAUUUUGCACAUCUGUCUAUUGGUAGUGUGCUAGAUUAUUUACCAUGAAAACCUAAAGUAAGACGGUAUCAAAGGGUGGGUCAUAAAUUAACUGAAUAUGGGGGAUGAGGAUAAUAUAGAGACCUAUAUACAACAAAUGGUUUUAAGCAAGAAAAGCAUUAGUGCUAUGAAGAGGCAGAGUGCAGGUAAUAGAUUGUAUAACUCCAUCUGAGAGAGCGCAUUACCGAGGUCAUCAGAAAAAAUAUAGGACCUCGAAAUUCUCGCUACUGUUUCGAAAUUGUAAAAUAAUGUGACAUUGACAACAAUGAAUGAUUGGAAUUGGGUUCAAUCCACCGUCAAUGUGCCGCGUGGAGUUCAUGGUAAUAUUUUGAAUAGGGGCAAGCGCAAAGGAUUGGAGGUUGAUAAUUAGUAUUUCUAGUUAUGCAUUAGGUGGGUUUCGAGAGAGACUGUAGCUUCAAGAUGAAAAUACCUAAUCACUGGUGGACUAAAACCAAGUAUGAUUCCAAAGUGAAUGUCAAAAGGUUCAAGGCAAGGCUUGUGGAAAGAGAGUUUAGACAAAGAGAAUGAAUCGAGUAUAAAAACAUUCUCUCGUGUGUCAACCAAAGAUUCUACCAGAGUCGUCACAACAUUGGUAGCUCAUUAUGAGAUAGAACUGCUCCAAACGGAUUUUAAAACAACAUUUCUAAAUGGUGACCUAAAAGAAGACAUUUACAUGGCUCAGCCAGAAGGCUUUGUUAUGGAAGGUAAGGAACAUUUAGCAUAUCAUAUAAAGAUAUCACUUUAUGGCUUGAAGCAAGCUUCAAGAGAGUGUUACCUUAAGUUGGGUAAGAUUAUUGAAACUUUUGGUUUCAUGGAAAUGUCGUGGACAACUGCAUAUAUGUUAAAUUUAAAGGCGGUAGGUUCACAAUUAUAGGGCUACAUGUUAAUUAUAUUUUGUUGGCCUAUGAUGUCUGCUAUACGUCGGUAUUUCCCCAAAGAGGAAGGGAUGAUGCAGUAUAGCGACGGUAGGUAUUUCCCUCAGUGACGAGACCAAGGUUACCGAACCAGUAGAAGAACUUCCUCACACCACAUAAACAACACCUGCACACAAAUAACAAAUACUCGCAACCCGACGUUUUAAAGGGGUUGUCAAUCCCUUUCGGGUACGGCGCCUCAAGAUAGGCAAAUAACAUGAUGUAAAAGUGGUAGAUAGGAUAAAUAGAUCGUGGAAGAAAUAAAUUGUAGCAAGGUAUUAUUGUAUUUUUGGUUUAAUAGAUCUGAAAAUGAAUGCAAGGUAAAAUAGAUCACAAAGGCAAAUAUGAUGAAAAGAGACCCGGGGGCCGUAGGUUUCACUAGUGGCUUCUUUGGAGAAAAAUAGCAAACGGUGGGAAAACAAUUACUGUUGGGCAAUUGAUAGAACUUCAAAUAAUCAUGACGAUAUCCAGGCAAUGAUCAUAUAUAGGCAUCACGUCCAAGAUUAGUAGACCGACUCCUGCCUGCAUCUACUACUAUUACUCCACACAUCGACCGCUAUCCAGCAUGCAUCUAGUGUACUAAGUUCAUGAGAAAACGGAGUAAUGCAAUAAGAACGAUGAUAUCAUGUAGACGAGAUCCGUUUAUCUAUUGCGGAGAUAUAGAUCUCAUAUUGUUAUCCUUAGUAGCAACGAUACAUACCUGUCGGUUCCCCUUCUGUCACUGGGAGCAAGCACCGUAAGAUCGAACCCACUACAAAGCACCUCCUCCCAUUGCAAGAUAAAUAGAUCAAGUUGGCCAAACAAAACCCAAAUAUCAGAGAAGAAAUACAAGACUAUAAGUAAUCAUGCAUAUAAGAGAUCAAGAAGAGUCAAAUAACUUUCUUGGAUAAAAACAUAGAUCUGAUCAUAAACUCAAAGUUCAUCGGAUCCUAACAAACACACCGCAAAAAGACUUACAUCAUAUGGAUCUUCAAGAGACCAUUGUAUUGAUAAUCAAGAGAGAGAGAGAGAGNNNNNNNNNNNNNNNNNNNNNNNNNNNNNNNNNNNNNNNNNNNNNNNNNNNNNNNNNNNNNNNNNNNNNNNNNNNNNNNNNNNNNNNNNNNNNNNNNNNNNNNNNNNNNNNNNNNNNNNNNNNNNNNNAAUAAAAAAUUCUAGAUACGUUGGAGACGAAUCAGCAUCCCCAAGAUUAGUUCCUGCUCGUCCUCUAGUAGGUAAAUGAUAAAAACAAAUUUUGAUGUGGAAUGCUUCCUAACAUGUUCAUCACAUUUCUUUUCUUUAUGGCAUGGACAUAUGGACUUUUAUAUGACUCAAAACAAUAGUCUAGUUUUGACAUGAAGACUUUAAAACUCAAGCAUACCAACAAGCAACCAUGUCUUUCAAAAUAUCAACACUAAAGCAAGUUAUCCCUAGCCCAUCAUGCUCAAUCAUUGAUCCAUUCAUGAAACACACUCGAAUAUUAGCUACACCCAAUGCUCAAAUACGAUCAUAGUGCCCCUUAGUUGGUGCUUUAUAAGAGAAGAUGGAGACUCAAAUUCAAAAUAAAAAUUGUAUAAGUAAAAUAAAGGCCCUUCGUGGAGGGAAGUAUGGAUUUGUAGAGGUGCCAGAGCUCAAAGCUUAAAUUGAGAGAUAAAAAUAAUUUUGAGAGGUAUACUUUUCCCACCAACGAAAACGACUUGGAGCAUCCCAAGACUUUGCAAGGAAUUUAUUAUUUGACAACAUAAAGUAAUUCAUUUUUCAUUUCGGGGCUGGGCAUCCCUAAUACCUUUGCCGUACUUCGUGCAAUGACAAGUGAAUAAACACUCAUCAUGAGAAUAACACAUCUAGCAUGGAAAAUAUUGGCUACCCUUUACCGCUUCGCGAGCAGUAGAGCACACAAAAGAGAAAUGCAUUUUGAACAUUAGAGAUGGCACAUGCAAAUUUGCUUAGAACGGGAUGGAAAUACCGCAUAUAGGUAGGAGUAGUGGACUCAUAUGGCAAAACUGGUUUAAAGGGUUUUGGAUGCACAAGUAGUGAUCAUACUUAGUGCAAAAUGAUGGCUAGCAAAAAGAUUGAGAAGCGACCAACCAAAAAGCGAAAAAUCUCGUACCCAAGCAUUAAGCAUAAGUAACACCGAAUAAUGCACCAUAAGUAGGAUAUAAAUUUCAUUGCAUAACUAUUGACUUUCGUGCUUGCAUAGGGAAUCACAAACCUUAACAUCAAUAUUCUUACUAAAGCACGAUUACUCAUCAACAUGACUCACAUAUCAUAUCAUCAUAUCUCAAAACCAUUACUAAGAAUCAAGUUUAUUUUANNNNNNNNNNNNNNNNNNNNNNNNNNNNNNNNNNNNNNNNNNNNNNNNNNNNNNNNNNNNNNNNNNNNNNNNNNNNNNNNNNNNNNNNNNNNNNNNNNNNNNNNNNNNNNNNNNNNNNNNNNNNNNNNNNNNNNNNNNNNNNNNNNNNNNNNNNNNNNNNNNNNNNNNNNNNNNNNNNNNNNNNNNNNNNNNNNNNNNNNNNNNNNNNNNNNNNNNNNNNNNNNNNNNNNNNNNNNNNNNNNNNNNNNNNNNNNNNNNNNNNNNNNNNNNNNNNNNNNNCCAAUGAUCUUCAUGAAAGUUUUUAUUAUAUCCUCCUUGGAUAUCUAUCAGUUUGGGACUAUUAUCAUAUAUGUGUUGCUUUUGAUAAGCUCAAACAAAUAUAAGUGAAGAUCAUGAGCAUAAAUUUUCUUUCUCUCAAAAUAAUCUAAGUGAAGCAAGAGAGAAUUUCUUAAAAAAUUACUAACUCCCAAAUAAAUCUAAGUGAAGCAGGAGAGCAUUUCUUCAAAAUUAACAAAGCACACCGUGCUCAAAAAGAUAUAAGUAAAGUACUAGAGCAAAUCCGUGGCUCUAAAAAUUGAAGUGAAGCAUAGGAGCUAGCAUAGCAUAAUUUUUGGCUCUCUCAAAAGGGUGUGCCCAGAAAGGAAUCAAUACUUAAAACACAAAGCAAAACAAUCAAGGAAUCAUAUCAUACAAGACGCUCCAAGCAAAACUCAUAUCAUGUGACGAAUAAAAAUAUAGUUUCAAAUAAAAUACCGAUGAUUGUUAGAAGAAAGCGGGGAUGCCACUUGGGGGCAUCCCCAAGCUUAGUUGGUUGCUACUUCCUUGAAUAUUAUCUUGGGGUGCCUCGGGCAUCCCCAAGCUUAGCAUUUUGCUUAUCCUUAUUCAUUCAUCCAUCGUAAGAUAACAUGAAACUUGAAAACUUCAAUCACACAAAACUCAAACAAAACCUUCGUGAGAUCCGUUAGUAUAAGAAACCAAACCACUACUAUAAUUACUGUAGCAAACCUAUUUUUAUUUUGUUUUUGCAUUAUAUCUACUUUUUCCAACUUUUCUAUGGCAAAAACUCAUCAAAGAAAACCAUAGAAUCAUCAAAACAAGCACACAACGCAAAGAAAACAUAAUCUGACAAAAACAGAACAGUCUGUAGCAAUCUGAAUAUUUAGAAUACUUAUGUAAUUCCAACAAUUAUGAAAUAAAUUGGUGGACGCGAGGAAUUUGUCUAUUAAUCCUUUGCAAAAAGAAUCAACUUGAAAGAACUCUUCUGUUAAAAAUGACAAAUAAUCUCAUGAGCGCGAAAGUUUCUGUUAUUCAUCAAGAUCAAAUAAACUUUCACCCAAGUCUUCCCAAAGGCCUUGCUUGGUACAAACACUAAUUGAAACACAAAAAACACAAUCAUAAAAGUAGCAUAAUUUUGCUAACACUCAAGAAGAAAGCAAAAAGCAAAAAUAAAUUUUAUUCAUUGGGUUGCCUCCCAACAAGCUCUAUCGUUUUAUGCCCCUAGCUAGGCAUAACGCGUAGGAUCUAAGUUUUGUCACUCUUAUCCUUGCUUACCUUGGAGGUAUUUGUUGUAGGGGAAUGCAAUGGAAAACGAAAAUUUUCGGUAUAGCGAGCACGCCCAGGACCACUAUGGAGACUGCAUACAAGGUUUGAUCUGAUCCGUACCGACUCGAAGCACAGCGGAAGAAGAGUCGGUGUAGAUCAUCGGUGCAGAUCCCCGCAGCUAGGAUUUACAACCUCCCAACUGCGAGUGUGUACUCCCUCUCCGGACACCCCUUCGGGAGGCGGUCGGAUAGUCCCCCAGACGAUGUCGCGGACAGUCCUUCGGGAGGACACUCGAACAACCCCUCGUGCAAAAGAUCAAAAACUACAAUCUAUCUACGGGGUUGCACACAUACGGUGUCAGCUAUCCGGUAGGGCUUCACCGUCCAGAACUAGUUCCUGCCGGAACCCAGACAACCAUACGGCUCUACGAAACUCUUUUCGUGGGAGGGAGAGAAGAAGCCAGAUAAUGCAUGGCAUGUGUAUGAGAGCAAGGGAUGAAGAGAUGGCAGCCCUCACCUCCUCUAUUUAUAGCAAAGCCAAGGGGUAGUGUGCCUCCAUAUUUUUACCAAAAACCCCAUGCAUUAGGUCACACAUGAGGGUUUUAAGGUAAAAAUGGGAUGCCAUGUGGAGCUCCAAGGAGCUCCACCACCCAUGGCCGGCCACCCCUACCCCCCCCCCAAAUGGGGUUCCUUCCCUUGUAAGCCACUUCCUUAUAGAACUUUGACCAAGUCCAAAAAGGUGGCUCUACAUAAAUAUCCCAAAAAGCACUUUCACUAUUCACGACGACAUUUUUCAGCGUCCGUUCGAACUGAAAAUAUUUAUGUGGGCUUAGAACAUUUCCAUUACCCACCAUAAUAAUUUUCAACGCAUUCCGAAACAAUUCCAGUUUUAGUGAUUUUCAUCUGCGAAACGCAUCUGAAGUGGCUCCGGCAGCUCCGGAACAUUUCAGGUUUUUAUCUCAGAAAAUUCCAAAAAGCUUCCAGAAUGAUUCUGGCACCCUCCAAGAAUUAUCAGGCAUUUGCCAAAACCAAUUUGACUUAAUGGUAUAUCCCGAAACAACUUUUUAGUAUCAUCGAAACUCAUCCGAUGACCUCUCUCUGCGGUAUGAUUCCGCUGUCCGAAACUUUUUCGGUGAUUUUCUCUCAGACUCCCUGUCUUGUAUUCAGCAGAUAGAUGACCCUUAAGCGUGUGACCCUAUAGGUUCGGUGAACUAUAGACAUGACCCAGAACCCCUUCCGAUCAAUGAUCAACAUCGGAGCCGUGGACACCCAUAUUGACCCCUAUACCCACACGAAUGAAUAUUUGAGUGAACCUCUUGUUGCAGUGGGCUAUUCCUUUUGCUUCGCGAUAUGUCACAAACACCCGAGGUGAGAUUUAUUGCAUUCCUAUGGGUCAACAAUUUGUCCACCAUGCAAGUUACCUCGUUAUCAGUUUUGUUCUGUUUUCUCGUUUUCGUAUUUCGGCAUCCCAGUGAUCAAAUCACAAUGUGUCUGGCCAGACGAUGAUGGAUACCGUUACACCGAGAGGGCUUGAGUAUAUCUCUCCAUCGUCGGAGGAGCAAAUCCCAAUCUUGAGUUAUCUUGUUACUUGCCAUACUUUUUCGUGAACCCGUAAGCUGCCGAAAUAGCCACCCAGUUACGGAUGACGUUUAACAAACCCCAAAGCUCACGAAGCAAGUAUGAAGGAACUUGAUAAUCUCAUGGUCUAAGGAAUUAUGCAAACAUUAACUUCUCUAUGUUAUUAACUAUUAACUUGUGACGAAUGUAUCUCAUAGCAUAACAUCAAAAUGGGUCGAUUCAACACAAAUGUUCUACCAACAUCGUGCCCUCAUAAUUGCCAGCAUAGACAUGCCCAUGAUUAGGAAAACAUGAUCAUCAUGCAAUACAUGAGCCAGUCUUAGAGGCAAGACUAGGAAUACAUUUUACCGUUUAGUAUAGCACACGUGCACAUGAGUUUUCCUUCGAGCCUCGUGGAUAUUGCAGACUCAAGAAUCAUUGCAGUUAUAGCAUGGAAGCUAAACAUUCAUUACAAACUUUGGAGAUACAAAACAACUGAUAUUACUGCCUCUAGGGCAUAUCUCCUACAUUUGUGUCGGGAGGCUUUGUAAAUAAAGCAUAAAACACAUUAUCCAUGUAAACUUUAGCACUAUUAAGUUGCUUUUUAUCAUAACCCCUUUGAUUUCCGGCAGUGAUCCAAGAAUAGUGUUGAUUAACAUCGUUAAAAACUUGUUGGAUCAUAUCUAAAACGGGGACUUGCUUUUUAAGAUUCUCAACAAAGAUUUGGUUAUCUCCAAACAAAUGUCUCAAAGCAUAAUCACUAUUAUAAAGAAUUUCAUCAAUCACGGGUUUUUCACGAUUCGUGCCAUAAAAAUCAAAGAUUUCCCUAACUUCUCGUAUUAUGUAGUCAAAUUCAUUCAUCAAAACAAGAGUGGCUAACUUUUUAGCUUUUGGAUCCUUUAUAAUGGGCAACUCAUAGAACAAUCUUUUCAAGGUAGGAUGAGUACGGAUAAAUCUAGUUUCAAGCUUCAAAACAAGUGCCGAGAUAUCUUCCGCAUAAGAUUUAGUUCAUUUAAGUAUGGGGAUAUCAUCAAGACUUAAUUUUCUGACACAAUUGAAAAAUUCUUGGAUAUGUUCUUUUCCCAUAAAAUUCCCUUGCCCCAAGACAAAAGUUUUGGCAUCCAGAUUACCCGUACGCUCCAUUUAGGAGUUAGGACAUCAUCUGUUUCUGCCAUACCAAAGUCACUCAUGGUGACAAGUUCAAGAAAAUAAAAGAUCUGACAAGAAAACGGCGAACGAAAAAAGGGCGAAUAAAACGACAAAUUUUUGUGAAGUGGGGGAGAGGAAAACGAGCGGCAAAUGGAAAAUAAUGUAAAUUGCAAGGAGAUAAGAUUUAUGAUUAGGAACCUGGUUGAUGUUGAAGAUCCUCCCUGGCAACAGCGCCAGAAAUUCCUUUUGAUGUCUGCUAGAACUACGUUGGUAUUUCCCCAAAGAGGAAGGGAUGAUGCAGUAUAGCGACGGUUGGUAUUUCCNNNNNNNNNNCCAAUGAUCUUCAUGAAAGUUUUUAUUAUAUCCUCCUUGGAUAUCUAUCAGUUUGGGACUAUUAUCAUAUAUGUGUUGCUUUUGAUAAGCUCAAACAAAUAUAAGUGAAGAUCAUGAGCAUAAAUUUUCUUUCUCUCAAAAUAAUCUAAGUGAAGCAAGAGAGAAUUUCUUAAAAAAUUACUAACUCCCAAAUAAAUCUAAGUGAAGCAGGAGAGCAUUUCUUCAAAAUUAACAAAGCACACCGUGCUCAAAAAGAUAUAAGUAAAGUACUAGAGCAAAUCCGUGGCUCUAAAAAUUGAAGUGAAGCAUAGGAGCUAGCAUAGCAUAAUUUUUGGCUCUCUCAAAAGGGUGUGCCCAGAAAGGAAUCAAUACUUAAAACACAAAGCAAAACAAUCAAGGAAUCAUAUCAUACAAGACGCUCCAAGCAAAACUCAUAUCAUGUGACGAAUAAAAAUAUAGUUUCAAAUAAAAUACCGAUGAUUGUUAGAAGAAAGCGGGGAUGCCACUUGGGGGCAUCCCCAAGCUUAGUUGGUUGCUACUUCCUUGAAUAUUAUCUUGGGGUGCCUCGGGCAUCCCCAAGCUUAGCAUUUUGCUUAUCCUUAUUCAUUCAUCCAUCGUAAGAUAACAUGAAACUUGAAAACUUCAAUCACACAAAACUCAAACAAAACCUUCGUGAGAUCCGUUAGUAUAAGAAACCAAACCACUACUAUAAUUACUGUAGCAAACCUAUUUUUAUUUUGUUUUUGCAUUAUAUCUACUUUUUCCAACUUUUCUAUGGCAAAAACUCAUCAAAGAAAACCAUAGAAUCAUCAAAACAAGCACACAACGCAAAGAAAACAUAAUCUGACAAAAACAGAACAGUCUGUAGCAAUCUGAAUAUUUAGAAUACUUAUGUAAUUCCAACAAUUAUGAAAUAAAUUGGUGGACGCGAGGAAUUUGUCUAUUAAUCCUUUGCAAAAAGAAUCAACUUGAAAGAACUCUUCUGUUAAAAAUGACAAAUAAUCUCAUGAGCGCGAAAGUUUCUGUUAUUCAUCAAGAUCAAAUAAACUUUCACCCAAGUCUUCCCAAAGGCCUUGCUUGGUACAAACACUAAUUGAAACACAAAAAACACAAUCAUAAAAGUAGCAUAAUUUUGCUAACACUCAAGAAGAAAGCAAAAAGCAAAAAUAAAUUUUAUUCAUUGGGUUGCCUCCCAACAAGCUCUAUCGUUUUAUGCCCCUAGCUAGGCAUAACGCGUAGGAUCUAAGUUUUGUCACUCUUAUCCUUGCUUACCUUGGAGGUAUUUGUUGUAGGGGAAUGCAAUGGAAAACGAAAAUUUUCGGUAUAGCGAGCACGCCCAGGACCACUAUGGAGACUGCAUACAAGGUUUGAUCUGAUCCGUACCGACUCGAAGCGCAGCGGAAGAAGAGUCGGUGUAGAUCAUCGGUGCAGAUCCCCGCAGCUAGGAUUUACAACCUCCCAACUGCGAGUGUGUACUCCCUCUCCGGACACCCCUUCGGGAGGCGGUCGGAUAGUCCCCCAGACGAUGUCGCGGACAGUCCUUCGGGAGGACACUCGAACAACCCCUCGUGCAAAAGAUCAAAAACUACAAUCUAUCUACGGGGUUGCACACAUACGGUGUCAGCUAUCCGGCAGGGCUUCACCGUCCAGAACUAGUUCCUGCCGGAACCCAGACAACCAUACGGCUCUACGAAACUCUUUUCGUGGGAGGGAGAGAAGAAGCCAGAUAAUGCAUGGCAUGUGUAUGAGAGCAAGGGAUGAAGAGAUGGCAGCCCUCACCUCCUCUAUUUAUAGCAAAGCCAAGGGGUAGUGUGCCUCCAUAUUUUUACCAAAAACCCCAUGCAUUAGGUCACACAUGAGGGUUUUAAGGUAAAAAUGGGAUGCCAUGUGGAGCUCCAAGGAGCUCCACCACCCAUGGCCGGCCACCCCUACCCCCCCCCAAAUGGGGUUCCUUCCCUUGUAAGCCACUUCCUUAUAGAACUUUGACCAAGUCCAAAAAGGUGGCUCUACAUAAAUAUCCCAAAAAGCACUUUCACUAUUCACGACGACAUUUUUCAGCGUCCGUUCGAACUGAAAAUAUUUAUGUGGGCUUAGAACAUUUCCAUUACCCACCAUAAUAAUUUUCAACGCAUUCCGAAACAAUUCCAGUUUUAGUGAUUUUCAUCUGCGAAACGCAUCUGAAGUGGCUCCGGCAGCUCCGGAACAUUUCAGGUUUUUAUCUCAGAAAAUUCCAAAAAGCUUCCAGAAUGAUUCUGGCACCCUCCAAGAAUUAUCAGGCAUUUGCCAAAACCAAUUUGACUUAAUGGUAUAUCCCGAAACAACUUUUUAGUAUCAUCGAAACUCAUCCGAUGACCUCUCUCUGCGGUAUGAUUCCGCUGUCCGAAACUUUUUCGGUGAUUUUCUCUCAGACUCCCUGUCUUGUAUUCAGCAGAUAGAUGACCCUUAAGCGUGUGACCCUAUAGGUUCGGUGAACUAUAGACAUGACCCAGAACCCCUUCCGAUCAAUGAUCAACAUCGGAGCCGUGGACACCCAUAUUGACCCCUAUACCCACACGAAUGAAUAUUUGAGUGAACCUCUUGUUGCAGUGGGCUAUUCCUUUUGCUUCGCGAUAUGUCACAAACACCCGAGGUGAGAUUUAUUGCAUUCCUAUGGGUCAACAAUUUGUCCACCAUGCAAGUUACCUCGUUAUCAGUUUUGUUCUGUUUUCUCGUUUUCGUAUUUCGGCAUCCCAGUGAUCAAAUCACAAUGUGUCUGGCCAGACGAUGAUGGAUACCGUUACACCGAGAGGGCUUGAGUAUAUCUCUCCAUCGUCGGAGGAGCAAAUCCCAAUCUUGAGUUAUCUUGUUACUUGCCAUACUUUUUCGUGAACCCGUAAGCUGCCGAAAUAGCCACCCAGUUACGGAUGACGUUUAACAAACCCCAAAGCUCACGAAGCAAGUAUGAAGGAACUUGAUAAUCUCAUGGUCUAAGGAAUUAUGCAAACAUUAACUUCUCUAUGUUAUUAACUAUUAACUUGUGACGAAUGUAUCUCAUAGCAUAACAUCAAAAUGGGUCGAUUCAACACAAAUGUUCUACCAACAUCGUGCCCUCAUAAUUGCCAGCAUAGACAUGCCCAUGAUUAGGAAAACAUGAUCAUCAUGCAAUACAUGAGCCAGUCUUAGAGGCAAGACUAGGAAUACAUUUUACCGUUUAGUAUAGCACACGUGCACAUGAGUUUUCCUUCGAGCCUCGUGGAUAUUGCAGACUCAAGAAUCAUUGCAGUUAUAGCAUGGAAGCUAAACAUUCAUUACAAACUUUGGAGAUACAAAACAACUGAUAUUACUGCCUCUAGGGCAUAUCUCCUACAUUUGUGUCGGGAGGCUUUGUAAAUAAAGCAUAAAACACAUUAUCCAUGUAAACUUUAGCACUAUUAAGUUGCUUUUUAUCAUAACCCCUUUGAUUUCCGGCAGUGAUCCAAGAAUAGUGUUGAUUAACAUCGUUAAAAACUUGUUGGAUCAUAUCUAAAACGGGGACUUGCUUUUUAAGAUUCUCAACAAAGAUUUGGUUAUCUCCAAACAAAUGUCUCAAAGCAUAAUCACUAUUAUAAAGAAUUUCAUCAAUCACGGGUUUUUCACGAUUCGUGCCAUAAAAAUCAAAGAUUUCCCUAACUUCUCGUAUUAUGUAGUCAAAUUCAUUCAUCAAAACAAGAGUGGCUAACUUUUUAGCUUUUGGAUCCUUUAUAAUGGGCAACUCAUAGAACAAUCUUUUCAAGGUAGGAUGAGUACGGAUAAAUCUAGUUUCAAGCUUCAAAACAAGUGCCGAGAUAUCUUCCGCAUAAGAUUUAGUUCAUUUAAGUAUGGGGAUAUCAUCAAGACUUAAUUUUCUGACACAAUUGAAAAAUUCUUGGAUAUGUUCUUUUCCCAUAAAAUUCCCUUGCCCCAAGACAAAAGUUUUGGCAUCCAGAUUACCCGUACGCUCCAUUUAGGAGUUAGGACAUCAUCUGUUUCUGCCAUACCAAAGUCACUCAUGGUGACAAGUUCAAGAAAAUAAAAGAUCUGACAAGAAAACGGCGAACGAAAAAAGGGCGAAUAAAACGACAAAUUUUUGUGAAGUGGGGGAGAGGAAAACGAGCGGCAAAUGGAAAAUAAUGUAAAUUGCAAGGAGAUAAGAUUUAUGAUUAGGAACCUGGUUGAUGUUGAAGAUCCUCCCUGGCAACAGCGCCAGAAAUUCCUUUUGAUGUCUGCUAGAACUACGUUGGUAUUUCCCCAAAGAGGAAGGGAUGAUGCAGUAUAGCGACGGUUGGUAUUUCCNNNNNNNNNNNNNNNNNNNNNNNNNNNNNNNNNNNNNNNNNNNNNNNNNNNNNNNNNNNNNNNNNNNNNNNNNNNNNNNNNNNNNNNNNNNNNNNNNNNNGAGUUUGAGACCAAUCCUAACUAACCUUUCAUGACAAUUGUCAUAUAAUUAAUAAGAAUCACCUGUAGAGAUAAGGAUUUCCAAAUAGCAUCUUCGAUAAAAAAGCUGCACACGACAAAACAACUACUUUAACUUAGUGAGUAUAACAUAAUCUAUAGGAUUCUUUUGGACACAGAAUUUGCAUACAACAUUAUGUAGGAAGAAAUCUGUGCACAGCAUCAGCUACUGUUACUUGAGAGUAUAAUAUGCAAAGUUUUGAAAUAAAGGCUAUGGCAAAUUGUGGUGAAAGCAUUAGAACGGUAAAUUGGUGAUAUAGCAAGCUAAAUGGGCUAACAAUGGCUCUAAACGGCUUAGCGCGUUGCCUGUCCAUACGCUACACCGCCAAGACACACUAUAUAAAACUUUCAUAAUAUGUCAUCCACCAUAUCCUAAAUUCCGUACCUUUGGCAUUGUCUAGAAGGUGAUGUGGUUAGCUUUUACAUAUAAUUUUAUCAUAUAUUUAGCCGUUAGAUCACCACAAUCAUCCGAAAACAUAUUACCAUUACUACCUAUUUUCUAUAGGCAUUACCUCAAACACAUGGCAAGCAAGUCCAACAGGUAGGAGGAAAAGGGAAUGUUGGAAAAGUUUAUUCUGUUGAACUGGGAGGAUCAUUGCUUGCAGCUGGGUAUCAAUUUCAUACUCGUCAUGUCGUUGACGGCCAAUUGAAUCUGCUGCCGCUCGUAAGGUACAUGCAUGGUGGGUGUCUUGUCGUGAUUGUAGCCAUGCCAAGCUUUUGUCCCUAUGUCUCGGUCCAUCCAUGAAAAAAAAAAUAGCCUGCAUAAUAAUUAUGAACGUACUCAGAAAAUGCAUGCAAGGACCGAAUAUGGAAGUAGAAAAUUGAUAAACUUAUGGUAAUAUGUUAACGUUAACUUAUCAGUGCCACCUAGGAAAACUGUAGAAGUUAAAUUCCAAUGGAUAAAUUGGAAUUUGCGACAAAAUCUCAGUAACCUCUACAUUCAUAAUUACUGAGACUCGCCUAUAGAGAUAAGGAUUUGCACAUAGCAUCUUCUAAAAAAAACUGCACACUGCACCACAACUACUAUAAUUUUGUGAGUAUCAAAUAAUCCAUAGGAUUCAUUCGCAAAAAUAAGAAUGUGCACACAACACACUUUAGAAAAAAAAUAUGCACAUAAUAUUAGCUAUUGUUACUUGAGAGUACAAUAUGACAUGCUAUGUGACAUAAAUUCAGUACCUUUAGCAUUCCUUCCAAGGAUAUGCUGUUAGCACUCACAAUUUUAUAUCCUGUUUUUGAACUUUUGUCCACAAUCAUCGCAAAAGAAAUAACCAUUGCCUAUCCCUUUUCUGUAAGCAUUACCAAAUCUCCACAUUCAUCUGAAAAGAAAUAACCAUUGGGUAGUAAGCAGUACCUUAAACACAUGGCGAACAUGUCCUAGUGUCCAAGAGGUAUACGGUGAAUGGAUGAUUGAACUGUUCGGAAGAAAAAGGCAUGUUGAGCAGAGAAAGCAGCUCGGGAUCGAUCUCUUACUCGUCAUGUCGUCCAGGUCAAAGUGAGGCUGCUGCUGCUGCAGCUUGUAAGGCACAUGCAUGGUGGUCGUCUUGCCGUGGUUGCAGCCACGCUGCUCUUUCCUUCGCGGUAGUCUCAGAACGCCUUGAUUAACCAUUAUGCAUGACACAUCUUCACGACAGCACCCAUCAUCUUCCUAGGUGAGGGGAUGAUGAUAGAUGACAGUAGCGCACGUGAGAUGCGAUGGAAAGAGUACAUGAUACGACUGAUGGCUGCUCGGCAAGAAAUCAGCGACGGCGAACGGACCGUAGAGACGAACAUGGAUAGAGGACGACGCUCACGGACCGCACCCAGAAAGACGAAGAGACCGAUUGCGUUGGUAGGUGGGACUCGGGAGUCCGGAUGGCAAUUUCAGUGGGAUAAGGACCUUCUUUAGCCAGAGAAAGGAAGAAAGCCAAAGUCUAUCUGUGGGAUACAACGACGCAUGCGGACCAGGCUGGUCGUCGUCGUCCUGCGCAGCGAGUAGCGGUAGUUUUUUUUUUUUUAACAAACAGGCAACUUGUACAUAUCGACACAGCCCUUGGUGUCUUUCCAUGUUGAGCCUAUCGGCUAACUAAAGCUCUGGCAAAAAAAACUUUAGUUAAUUUGUGUGCAUGCAUGCAUAUAUGUGCACAUGAACCUGCCUUGCUGGUGUACAUAUAGUACGUGUAUUAGUCUGUCUCUUUGUUUGCCUUGGCGUCUAUGUCCGAGUCUUUUAUUGGCUGGCUCGCAAAGUUUUGUGUACACCUCGUGAUUGCAUGUAAAAAAAAUCUUUUUAAGGCAGCCUAGCUGCUUUGGCCUAUGCGAAGCGUGCUUGGCUUGGACUUUUUCAUCAUAGGCACAUAUACGUGGCAGACUUGAUAUGUCCAAAAUAAUGCAUGUAUAUGAUAUUUGUAUGUAAUGUUUACGCCUUUAGAUCUUAACCAUUUAUAUCUAAAAUUAAUGGUCAAGAUAAUUUAAUCUGUGUGGAUGAACGUGAUGGCUUAUUUGACUUCCAAAAUAAUGCAUGUAUAUGAUAUUUGUAUGUAAUGUUUACGUCUUUAGAUCUUAACCGUUUAUAUCUAAACUUAAUGGUCAAGAUAAUUUAAUCUGUGUGGAUGAACGUGAUGGCUUAUUUGACUUCUGUCUUAAGUAUAUAAUAGAUUCCGGAUUGGACGGUUCCAUAUUUGGCGUAUAUGAACCGAGGCGAGUUACCAGAUGAUGAAGUUCUGGCCAGACAGAUAGUCCAGCGAUCAAAGUCCAUGGUUAUUCACAAUGGCGAGUUACACCAGUGCGUGUCUCAGGCAUGUUCCAAUCCUGUGUUUCUCCUGAAGAGGGCCAAGAGAUUUUGCGUGAGAUCCAUGAAGGAGAUUGUGGUCACCACGCCGGUUCAAAAUCCCUGGUUGCUAAAGCUUUUCGUCAUGGUUUCUACUAGUUGACAGCUCAUGCUGAUGCUGAGGAGCUGGUAAAGCGGUGUGACGCUUUUCAGAAGAUCUCACGCCGAGCUCAUGUUCCGGCUCAAGAGCUACGGAUGAUUCUAUCACUUGGCCGUUAGGUACUUGGGGGCUUGAUAAGGUGGGACCUUUUAAGCGGUCUAAAGAUAAGAAGACCCACCUGUUGGUGGCGGUUGACAAGUUCACUAAAUGGGUUGAAGCGGAGCCCGUAAGCAAGUGUGACGCAGCCACGAUGGUUCAAUUAAUCAAGAAGGUGAUCUGCCGCUUCGGCUUUCCACAUAGCAUCAUCACGGAUAAUGGCACGAACCUGUCCAAAGGUGAGACGGAGGAUUUCUGUCAAAGAGAGCAUAUCCAGCUUGAUGUGUCAUCAGUGGCACACCCCCAGUCUAACGGGCAAGCUGAGAGAGCAAGUCAGGAAAUGUUAAAGGGCAGCAAGCCCCGGCUUAUGGUUCCUUUGAAAAGGACGCCGGGUUGUUGGGUGGAAGAAUUACCCUCUGUGUUAUGGAGCAUAAACACCACCCCCAAUCGAUCAACAGGUUAUACACCUAUCUUCAUGGUUUACGGGGCAGAGGCGGUACUCCCAAGUGAUAUUCGUCAUGACUCGCCCCGGGUUGCCUAUUAUUUUGAAGCGGACAACGAGCAGGCACGUCAGGAAGCACUAGACCUGUUAGAUGAAAAACGGGACAUGGCUUUGGCUCGUUCGGCGGUUUAUCAGCAAGACCUGCGGCGUUAUCACAGCCGCCGGGUCAAGACAAGAACCUUUCAAGAAGGCGACUUGGUGCUUCGGCUCAUCCAGGAUCAGACCGAUAUGCACAAGUUAUCCUCACCUUGAAAAGGACCCUUUGUGGUCAGCAAGAAUCCGCACAACGGAUCAUACUACCUCAUUCAUGUUCGAGAGCACGCAGAUUCACGUAAAUCUGAGGAGGAGACCCGGCGGCCGUGGAACAUAGCUCUCCUUUGGCCUUACUACACCUGAGCCAUAGGCUCCUCUUAUGUACAUAUUUUGACAAUGUAUAUAUUAUGAUAAAAUAUAAUAAACCGGCAUCCUUGCUAUAAGCGGGGUCUCUGCCGUUUUUUUCCAAUAUCUUUUGAUUACAUGGGGGCUUCAGCUGACAAAGCGGAGUUCUGCCUGUUAAACCGGCUAUCACGCCACAAUAUAGCUUGGGAGCUUCACACCCAAGGGGCCAAAGAGAGUCUGGUUACUAUGCAUAGCUCAAACAUAGGCACCCAUUGAGCAUAGCUCACGAAGUUACUUGGGGGCUCUUUGUGCAACGCAACAAAGAGUUUGAAAGGACCCUUGUAAUAUGCUAUCAAGCACGGCUUGGAAGCCUGGUGUAUUCACCUAAAACCCCGGUUAACCUGCCUUUAUCAAGUAAGCCACUCCUAUCCAGGUAAUCCUCGCAUGACCCGCCGAACGUUUGACAAGUCAAUCUUAUACGGACCCUGAACUUGUCAAAGUUAAAACGACGAUUGGUUAGUUGGAGGCCAUCUUGAAAGGCUUUGUAAAAUGGUUUAAUUCAGCGGCCUGGCAGCCCAUGAAAAGCCUCGAAUUUGGGCUUGGCAGCCCUUGAAAAGCUUCGACUACACAGUUUUUAUUUGCCUUUGUCAAAGAAUUUUUCUUUUGAUGAAAUUUUAUGUUGAACCGGCGUCUAUUGACCCGGCAUGGCUAUCAGUCAUCAUAGUAACCCGGUGUUUGUUAACCCGGCUUGGCUUUCAGCUACAAGUUGUCAGACCACACUCAUUAUUAAACAGGUGUUUCAUAACUCGGUCUGGCUUUGACUACAUGUCGCCAAGAGGAUCAUCCGGUGUUCAUCACAACCCUGUAUGACUUAUUAUACACCAGCACUGCAUGGUGGGAGUUAUCAACACUCAAGAUUUGGGUUCACCCUUACUACAAUCAAGUUGGUAAGCCAACAAUAUGAUUUAAUUUUGCAGGUAUGAUCUAUUUCAUAUUUUGAUAUUUUUACAGCCUUGGUUAUCUACCAGGCUUUGUAUUGGGCAUUAUGACCCGUCCGGUGGUAAACCACCAGGACAACUUUUCUUAUGCAGACAUAAGGAUUGCAUGAAAUUAUCAAGGUAUAUAAGCAAGCAUAGCAAUAAUCAUGGCGGANNNNNNNNNNNNNNNNNNNNNNNNNNNNNNNNNNNNNNNNNNNNNNNNNNNNNNNNNNNNNNNNNNNNNNNNNNNNNNNNNNNNNNNNNNNNCAAACAACGUCAUGUAGCAGUGCACGAUGGCAGCAGAUCAAAGUAUUUCAACUAGCCUAUUACAAGGCGCUUUGAUGCCCAAAAUAAUGAUUGUUUUUUGCACAAAACACAGUCUGUGAAAAUCAAGCUGAUUGUCGGAUUAAGAGUCGUCACCAGGUUGACGUGAAGUUGAUGGAUCUUCUUGCGUCGGUUCAACCUCCUCCUCCCCACCCACUGGCUGGAAGUCAAUGGUGGCCCAAUCAAUCCGGGUUAAAGCUUGGAAGCCAACCUCUUCACUUAUAAGAUUGGACGGUUCAACGUCAGGGGCAUAGGUGUGCUUACGGAUUGGCGGGAUAAGAUUCUGCACUUCUUUAACAGCGGCAUCAACCCGUUUGUUCUGCAUCAUAGCUGGACCGAUGAACAGAUAAGUCAACCUCUUCAGCCAAUUGGCUUGCCAGCGGGCACAUCUCCUUUGUCAGGGCUUUGAGGGCUUCAUUAUGAAAUUCUGACCCAUCUUCUUCUUGGCCAGGAUAGCCCUUUGCGAUAUCUGCCGGAUCAAGAUCCGCAAUCCAAGCUUUGUCCCGAGGCAGUGUUGUUAAAGUGACAGCCCUUGCAGCGGAUUGCUUUAACUCUUCUAUCUGGGCAGGGGUCAUGGAUAAUUUGGCCAAUGUAUCCUUGUUCAAGGUUGGUGCCGGUUUAUUGUAUGAGGCCGCACAGAUGACUCGUUGAGCACCGGUAUACAGUUGUUCUAUCAAUGUAUAUGCUGCUUUCAACUUCAUCCGCAUAUCCGAGCCCAGAUGAGCAACACGACUGCCUGCAACAGUUUAAGAAUUUGUGGUUAAACCGGCAAUUUCAAAGAUGUUUAAGAAAUGUUCUUACAAAGAGUACUUACCAAAUAUUGCAGAAGCCAUAGCAUUGACUUGAUGCUUUAGCCCAGUUAGUUCUUCCGCCACCGGUUUAAGAGCUGCUUCGGCAUCUUCAGCCCGCUUUAAUAGAGCGGCCUUCUCGGUUUCCCAGUCCGUCCAUUCGUUCUUGAAGCCAUCUUUCAAUUGCUCCAUGGCUGUCAAAGCGCCUUUCAGUUCAUCCUUGGCCUUGGAGGUUUCUGCUUGCUGGGACUUAAUAUUUUCUUGAAGAUCGACAGUUUGGGAAUCUUUAUUGCUCAAGUCAGCCUGCAACAGACAGAUGAUAAGUUGUUAAUAUCUUCUCAAAAGUCCCAAGCACAUAACAAGUUAUACACUUGACACUUGGGGGCUAAUGCGGAUUGCUUCUUAACUGAUAUUUUAAAAUCCCAGGCUCAAUACAAGUAUUAAUCUUGGCACUUGGGGGCUAAUGCCUAAUUGAUCAGAAAAAUCAAAGGUGAAGGAAGUCAACAAGGACAAGUUUUGAUCAGAAAGUCCCGGUGUUGGGGAACGUAGUAAUUUCAAAAAAUUUCCUACGCACACGCAAGAUCAUGGUGAUGGCAUAGCAACGAGAGGGGAGAGUGUUGUCCGUGUACCCUCGUAGACCGUAAGCGGAAGCGUUAGCACAACGCGGUUGAUGUAGUCGUACGUCUUCACGAUCUGACCGAUCCAAGCAACGAACGUACGGCACCUCCGAGUUCAGCACACGUUCAGCUCGAUGACGAUCCCCGGGCUCCGAUCCAGCAAAGCUUCAGGGAUGAGUUCCGUCAGCACGACGGUGUGGUGACGAUGAUGAUGUUCUACCGGCGCAGGGCUUCGCCUAAACUCCGCGACGAUAUGACCGAGGUGGAAUAUGGUGGAGGGGGGCACCGCACACGGCUAAGGAAUGAUCCGUAGAUCAACUUGUGUGUCAUGGGGUGCCCCCCUGUCCCCGUAUAUAAAGGAGUCAAGGGGGAGGGGGUGGCCGGCCAAGGAGGGGCGCGCCAAGGGGAGUAGGACUCCUUCGUUCCUAGUCCAACUAGGAGAAGGGGGGAAAGGAGGGGAGUGGAGAAGGAAGGGAGAGGGGGGCCGCGCCCCAAACCCCUUGUCCAAUUCGGACUGGGCUUGGGAGGGGCGCGCGCCACCUCCUGGCUUCUUCCCACUAAGGCCCGUUAAGGCCCAAUACUCUUCCCCGUAUUCCCGUAACUCCCCAGUACUCCGAAAAAUACCCGAAUCACUCGGAACCUUUCCGAACUCUGAAUAUAGUCGUCCAAUAUAUCGAUCUUUACAUCUCGACCAUUUCGAGACUCCUCGUCAUGUCCAAGAUCUCAUCCGGGACUCCGAACUCCUUAGGUACAUCAAAACUCAUAAACUCAUAAUAUAACUGUCAUCGAAACCUUAAGUGUGCGGACCCUACGGGUUCGAGAACUAUGUAGACAUGACCUAGAACUAUUCUUGGUCAAUAACCAAUAGCGGAACCUGGAUGCCCAUAUCGGCUCCUACAUAUUCUACGAAUAUCUUUAUCGGUCAAACCGCAUAACAACAUACUUUGUUCCCUUUGUCAUCAGCAUGUUACUUGCCCGAGAUUCGAUCGUCAAUAUCUAAUACCUAGUUCAAUCUCAUUACCGGCAAGUCUCUUUACUCGUUAUGUAAUGCAUCAUUCCGUAACUAACUCAUUAGCUACAUUGCUUGCAAGGCUUAUAGUGAUGUGCAUUGCCGAGAGGGCCCAGAGAUACCUCUCCGACAAUCGGAGUGACAAAACCUAAUCUUGAAAUACGCCAACCCAAUAUGUACCUUUGGAGACACCUGUACGUAGUACUCCUUUAUAAUCACCCAGUUACGUUGUGACGUUUGGUAGCACCCAAAGUGUUCCUCCGGUAAACGGGAGUUGCAUAAUCUCAUAGUUACAGGAACAUGUAUAAGUCAUGAAGAAAGCAAUAGCAAUAUACUAAAUGAUCAAGUGCUAGGCUAACGGAAUGGGUCAUGUCAAUCACAUCAUUCUCCUAAUGAUGUGAUCCCGUUAAUCAAAUGACAACACAUGUCUAUGGUUAGGAAACAUAACCAUCUUUGACAAACGAGCUAGUCAAGUAGAGGCAUACUAGUGACACUAUGUUUGUCUAUGUAUUCACACAUGUAUUAUGUUUCCGGUUAAUACAAUUCUAGCAUGAAUAAUAAACAUUUAUCAUGAUAUAGGGAAAUAAAUAAUAACUUUAUUAUUGCCUCUAGGGCAUAUUUCCUUCACCCGGUUCAUCUUGAAGAGGUAAACCGACCCUUGGGAGCUACAAUGUUGAAUUCUUUUUUAUCCAAAGUUCUGGUUCAUCUGGAAGAGAUAAGCCGGCCCUUGGGGGCUACAGUGGAGUUGAUAUACAGUAUAAAGAAAUUUAUAAAGGGUUUGGAAUGGAAGUUACCUCAUAGCGUUCCUUCAUCAAGUUGACUAAACCAGCCUCAUAGUCAUGGCUUGUAUAUAGGAGGUUUAGGUAUCCAGAGUGAAGUUCUUGAGCGUUGAGAAGAGCAUAGCUUGACAGAUCAGUCUUCCAUUUGCCUUUCUCCACAGCAGCAAAUUCUGUUUUGGCAUUGUGCUUUGACAAAGCGACAGGGUUGCCAGGAGAAGUAUGGCCAAACCCGGUAAUCACAAUAUGAUCAGUUGUUUUAUUUGGGCUAGCCAGUUUAUCCAAGGCUUUGGCUGGGCUCGGCGGAUCAGUGGCUGGACUUGGAGGAUUGGCAGUUGGGCUUGGUGGAUCGACAUGAGGACUAGCCGGGUUAACUUCUGGCAGAUCAACAUAAGUGUCCUGACCUUGUGGUACAGGAUCAUCCAUAGCAAUAUCAGCAUCUCCACCAGCACCUUCUGAGGUCUUGUCCGGUACAAACUCCUCAGUGGGAGCAUUCGUUUUUUCCUUUUUGCUGAGUCGGGCUUUGGCAUUGCAAAAUAGCAAACAGAGUUAAUAUGGUACGCUGGCGCAAGAAAGCAAAGUUAAAAAUAUCAUAGUCACCCAGGGACGGUCUUGAGAGGAGGCAUUUGUGUGGUUGAUGAGUCGCCAGAAGAUGAGUUGGAAGUUACUUGAUAAUUCGAAUCAGACGGAUUAAGUGGGUAUCGGAAGCAACCCGCCAAAGGAUAAGAUUUAUUAGAAGAACAAGAGACCUCUGGACGAUGAUUCCGGAUUGGGGUCUCUGGUAAACCGGAGGAAGUGACUUGCUGGCCACUGUGCCGGGUUGUGCGACGACUUUCAUGUUGCUGUGUCUUCAAAGAAAAGUGUGGAUCCAAAUGAGCAUGAGGAUGUGAGCGUUUUACUUUCUGGACAGCACGGCGAAGUUUUUGUAUUGGUACAUGGUAUGAAUCGGAGGAAAGGGAGAUUACCUCUACAUGGUCAGCACUGCUGGCUUCCGCAUCAUCCUGAUAAUGAUCAUUGUUAAUAAGAUGCAUGAAAAAUGAACCAAGGGAUUCAAGUUCUACCUCUGGUUCCGAGUCAUCAACAUCUUCGGGCAGAUCAGAGGACUCGGCGGUUUUCUUCUUUGCCGGCCACUUUGUGACCUUGCUCUUGGCACGAGGAGCUCUCACCGGUUUGUCUUGUGGUUUUGCCGGUUUGUCUUGAGGCUUCCUCUUCCAUAAUGGAUCUUUGGCCUGUAAGAAUAAAGAAAAUGCUAUCAAAAAUGUUAAAGGGGAGACUGAUUAAAAAGCAGAAAGAUAAAUUCUUACAACCAGCGGUUUGUUGAAGGCGUAAAAGGGACGCAACCCAGUCUUGCUGCACUCAGUUAUCGGUUCAUCUAGCAUCUUUUUGACAGACUCAGUCACCUCCUCGUCAGUCAUCGGUAUGUCAGUGUGCCGUUGUGGAUAUUUGACAUCCCCGGUAUAUUCAUGCAUUAAUCUGGUGCGGCGGCUUAAGGGCAGGAUACGCCAUGAAACCCAGCAUGCAACGGACAAGAUUAAUACCAGUUAAACCGUUUGCUAGAAGGGCCCGGAGCUUAGCAAGCUAUGGUGCGUAUGUUUGCUGUUCCUUGGCAGUAAGCCACUGAGGUAGUGGAUGUCCAUUGCUGAGUCGGAAAGCACGGUAACCCUGCAGAGGAUUUUCAUCAGCAGGAGCGGUGUUCCGGCAGUAGAACCAUGUUUGAUUCCAAUCUUUGGGGUGGCUGUGAUGUUUGGCAUGAGGAAAGUCUACUUCUUUGCCUUUUUGAAUCGACACUCCGCCAAGUUCAGUAUUAGGGCCAUCAGAAAAUUCCGUACGAUGGUUCAAGUGGAAGAAAUCUCUGAAAAGUUCAACAGUCGGUUCCUCUUGCAGAUAAACUUCACAGAACACUUGGAAGUUGCAAAUACUGGACACAGAAUUCGGUCCAAUAUCUUGAGGGUGGAGUUGGAAGCUGGCAAGAACAUCCCGGAAAAACUUUGAUCCGGGAGGACUGAAUCCUCGUUCCAGAUGCUGCAUAAACACAACCACUUCUCAAUCUUGAGGUUCAGGAGGAUUCUCAGUACCAGGGACUCGCCAAUGAAUAAUCUCUUUCUUGGCUAAAGCGCCAGUCAGAACAUACCCAGUAAGUUGCUCUUCUUUGAUCCGUGAGGGAACCCAGUUGCAAGAAGAGAACUGUUUGGCCAUUUUUGAUGACAAGCUGUAAAGAAAGUUCAAAAUGCCGGUUCACGGUUCAAGAUUGAUAUGCGUAAACCGGUGUCAAACCGGAGGAUUUAAUCGAAGCGUAUGUACAUGUUAAACCGGAUGCUUAUGUUCAGGUAAAGUUGGCGGUUUAAGUGAGGGCUAAUGGUACCUGGCAGAUUAUCAUUUUCUAAAGGUAAAACCACCUAUAGUGGAAGAAGCAGAUCCGAAAUAUACUAAGUGCUGAAGAAACAGGUUUCACAAGAUGGUAUUGUAAUUUUGGAUCUACCGCAGUUCAGUAAAGGAAAUUUUCUGAGCCCUAAAAAUGGCGACGAAAGAACAAUAAAGGCCCAUAUGGGAUCUGUCCAGAAACGAGGAAAUGCUAUGGCGAGGCAGACUAAAGCUACGGAUUCCGCCGCGAAAAGAAGUUGUCAGGUUUAUCUAGAUUCAAGGAGAUAGUAAGGGUAAGCAGAUAAGCACCGAUGAACGCUAAUGAACACCGAAGAACUAUGGAACCCUAAUGCAGAUCUGAUAGUCGGGAAGAGGAGUGCUUACCAGGGCUGCACGACGGCAGAGGAGCAUCGCAGGGUUUCUAGUCAAGAACAGGUUGAUGCAGCGGCCUGGUUGGUGCAGACGCAAAGGUCGACGGCGGUGGUGAUGCUUGAGCUCUUCGGGGUCGUGAGGAGGAAGAAGAUGCGAAGAUGCAAGGGGGAAAAUGGAAAGGACCCCCGGUCUUAUUUAUAAAGGCAAAGGGAUAAGUGACAGGCGCUUUAACUAUGAAGACUUAAGAGGUCUGGAGCCCAGUGACGGAUUAGAGCCCAUAAUAGUAAACCGCCAUAGAUGUAUAACUUGUAUUGUAAGUCAAGGAAUGGAGAAACCGAGCCAGACACUUGUAUGAGCCGGCCUCGGGAUUCUGUAGACCGGCCGGGCGUCAACCUAUGUAUAUAAAGGGACGGCCCGGCGGCGGUUCAGGGACAAGAAACAACAACUCGAGAACUAGGCAAAGCAUAUUUUCUCCCUAGUAAUCGAGACCACAUCAAGAACACCACAACUGGAUCGUAGGCUUUUACCUUCACCGCAAGGGGCCGAACCAGUAUAAACUCCAUGUGUCCUUUGUCCGGUUUAACCCCUCUAAGCUAACCCGAUUGCGAUGGCUCCACGACUAAGUCCUUUCACUAGGACAUCUGACGUGAUAAUUCCACGACAACACACAUACGCCAAGUGCCAUUCUUCUUGAGUACCAGCACUGGAUUAGCCAACCACUCAGGGUGAAAAACCUCCACAAUAAACCCUGCUGCCAAGAGCCGGGCUACCUCCUCACCAAUGGCCUUGCGUCUCUCUUCAUUGAAGCGGCGACGAAACUGCUUGACCGGUUUAAACUUGGGAUCGAUAUUCAGAGUGUGCUCAGCGAGUUCCCUCGGUACACCUGGCAUGUCAGAAGGUUUCCAUGCAAAGAUGUCCCAGUUCUCAAAGAUGAACUCGAUGAGCGCGCUUUCUUAUUUAGUAUCCAAGUUAGCGCUGAUGCUAAACUGCUUGGAUGAAUCGCCUGGAACAAAAUCAACCAACUUAGUCUCAUCAGCUGAUUUAAACUUCAAUGCUGGAUCAUGCUCUGUAGUGGGUUUCUUCAAAGAAGUCAUAUCCGCCAGAUCAACAUUGUUUUUAUAGAAUUUUAACUCCUCUGUUGCACAAACCGACUCAGCAUAAGCCGCAUCACCUUCCUCACAUUCCAAAGCGACCUUUCGGCUUCCAUGCACUGUGAUGGUCCCCUUAUGACCCGGCAUCUUGAGCUGUAGAUAAACAUAACACGUCCUUGCCAUGAACUUAGCAUAAGCUGGCCGUCCAAAGAGGGCAUGGUACAGACUCCUGAUUUUCACCACUUCAAAAGUCAAUGUUUCUAACCUUGAAUCAUGAUCAUCUCCAAAAGCAACCUCCAGAGCUAUCUUACCGACCGGGUAGGCUGAUUUACCAGGCACCACACCGUGAAAAAUGGUGUUCGACGGUUUAAGAUUCUUAUUCGUCAACCCCAUACGCCGGAAGCUUUCAUAAUACAAGAUGUUGAUACUGCUCCCUCCAUCCAUGAGCACCUUGGUGAACUUAUACCCUCUAACCUGCGGUGCUACCACCAAUGCCAGAUGACCCAGAUUAUCAACCCGGGGCAGAUGAUCUUCUCGACUCCACACAAUAGGCUGUUCAGACCAGCACAAAUAACGGGGCACUGCCGGUUCAACAGAAUUCACUGCCCUUUUAUGAAGCUUCUGAUCGCGCUUGCACAGGCUAGUAGUGAAGACAUGAUAUUGUCCACUAUUCAACUGCUUCGGGUGACUCUGAUAACCCGACUAUUGCUGUUGCUGAUUCCCCUAUUGAUUGUAACCACCUUGAUUGCCAUAAUUGCCUUGAUUGCCCUGCCCACCUUGAUUACCUUGGAACCCUGAACCGGAGUUACCUCCACCAUAACCCGGCCCGUGAAACACGGGUCCUGAACCGCCGGACGGUCCAUGAUCAUACCAGAAGAGAUCUGAGUUUUUGAACUCUCGCAUAAUAAAGCAAUCCUUCCAGAGGUGCGUAGCUGGCUUCUCUUGCGUCCCGUGCUUUGGGCAAGGCUGAUUUAACAGGCGCUCCAGAUUCAUACCUGAUCCUCCACUCCGCAGGGGUGGUUUAACCUUACGACGCUGACCAUUACCCUGUACGUUUGUGUUAGCCACAAAAUCAGAAUUACUGUCCGCUUUAUGCUUACCGUUAUUCCCGUGGCCCGCCUGGUUAUGUUGUUGUCCUUUCGCAACGCCGUUCUUCUUUCCUUUCCCCGGCUUCUCAUCGUCAGACUCGAGAUCCUUGGUACUAUCAAAGUCGGCAUACUUAACCAAAGCUGCCAUGAGUGUUCCCAUGGCAUUGUAGUGACGCUUGAGUCGUCCCAACUUCAACUUCAGCGGCUUAAACCAGCAAUUUCCCUCUAAUGUUAUGACUACUGAAUCGGCAUUGAUGCGGUCUGGUAUAUGCAAGAUCUCCGAAACCCGGCGCACCCAAUGGGUUGUCAACUCGCCUUCUUCUUGGACACAGGCGGCCAGAUCCACAAUUGACAUGGGUUGCUUGCACGUGUCCUUGAUGCUUGUUAUAAACCGGGCCUUCAACUUAGCCCAUGAACCGACGGAGUUAACGGGCAAACUCUUUAACCAAGUGCGAGCCGUUCCAUCCAACAUCAUGGUGAAGUACUUUGCAUACGCUGCUUCAUCCACAUCCAGCAUCUCCAUUGCCAUCUCAUAACUCUCAACCCAUGACCCGGGGGGUAAAUCGGCGGUGUAAUUAGGCACCUUAUGCGGGCCCUUAAAAUCCUUGGGUAACCGCACUUGGCGUAGAGCUUGAGUGACACACGGCACCCCCCAAGAGCUGAAAGCAAGUCGUCGUUCCACUGACAUCGUCGGUCGAACCGGAGUAGGCUGAUGAUUCGCGUACUGCGCCGCUAACUCUGCCUCCCGACGCGCUCUACCAUUAUCCACCACAUCCUGAGCAUUUGCACCACCGCGCGCCAGAUUUGGCCCUCGAGGGGCAUCACGGUUCCGCGCACUGCUUGACACAGCCGGUUCUUCAAUGCGCCUGCUGUAACUCCUGCUCGGGCGAGGGGUUGAAUGGAUUAUGUCUCGGCUAUAUGAAUAGGCCUGCCACUGUACCAUAGCGGUUUGAAGGAGAUCCCUGGCCCGCCGCGUCUCAACCGCCGCUGGAGACUCGCCCUCCAUUGGAAUAGCUGCCAAUCGAGAUGCCGCAGCAAUCAUGUUAUCCAAAGGGGUGGAGAAGUGACCCAGCGGGGUCGGCAUGUAUUGCGGCGGGUCAUAUGUUUGUCGAGGCGAGUCCACCACCCGUGGCUGAUCUGGCGCUCCUGUCCCAGGGGCUUCAGUCCGGUUUACUGCUGCCGGAUUACUGGGUCCUGCUCCUGGCGUGUUGAAGAGAUUCAUUGCUUCGUAAACCGGUGGUAGACGAGACCGAUGCCUCCUCCUCAACACGUCUUUAGACGAGACCGAUGCCUCCUCCUCCUCAACACAGCAUGAGCCGGUAAUUCUCUGCCUGAAUCCGCUGUGACUGGGCAUCUAAAGCGGCCCGCUCAUCAGCCAUCCUGGUUUCCUCAGCCGCCAAGUCCUCCUUGGCCUGAGUUAUCUGAUCCCGCAGCUUUGUGACCUCCGCAUUAUGCCGAUCUUGAGUCUCCGAGGUGACUGUUGUGGUCAACAAUGUCGUCCAGGCGUCCAAUAAACCAGACAGAAUUUGAGCCGGUCGGCGCACGGGGUCUCCUGCCCCGGUUGUCGAUCCGGAAGUCAUCGCUGCUGCAUUUGAAGAUUGCAAUGUGGGCUACGUACCGGCCAUGAAGAUCGCAACCCGAUUUGGCGGUUCAAGGGGGUCCGGAAUACCGCCGCCAUCGAACAGCCCCUGAACCGGCCGUCUUAUAGUUGGUACAGCGACUCGGUCCCGCCGGUGGAUGAUUCGCCAUCAGAAUAAAUGGCCGUCUCACCAUCGGACACCGGUUCAGAUUCCGCACCAUGGAUGAAUCCUACGAACGCACGCUUCAUGGCAGGCUGAACCCGGGCAGGGCUUGCACACUGAGCCGUCUCGACGAGGUCGGUGCAGGCGUCCGGCUCAGGGCCCGGUUCGCCGACCUUGCCGAUGAAGACGUGAAUUCCUCCAAAGGGGACCCGCUACCCGUACUCAAUCAAGCUGGCAUCGGCGCCCCAGCCUGCGUCGUGAAUAUAGAGCUUGCCGCGACGACUCUUGGUCACCCGGCUAACCGCGUAUCCCUUGAGUUCUUCAAAGUUGCCCUUCAAGAACUCGAAACCAUCGUGCGAUAGCCCCACUGUGGGCGCCAAUUGUCGUGGAGCCAUCUACAGUAAGCAGUUACAAAAUGACUUAUACACUAACAAUACCACUAAGAAAAUGCUUUGCAAUGCCACAAAAAUGCCACUAAGAAAUUGUAGACUAGAAUCCAGUAAAUUUACACAACAAAUGCCACUAAACUUAACACUGCAGAAAUCACUAAAAAUGACCAAAAUUACACUGAAAAACAUGCUUACAAAUAUAAUAAAAUCCAGUAAGAAAGUACUAAAAUUACAGUGUAAACUACUGUAUAUACUACUGCGUAAAUUACUAUUUAAACCGCUAAGAUUUACUAUGAAAAACCAAUUAGCAUACACUGUAAUUCCACUGGGCAUUACAGUGCAAUGUCAAGAAAUAACUACACUAUAAACCAUCAAGUACUAAAGUCAAAAAUCGGGAAGAGGACAUGACCAGAAUUGCAGUGAAAAUCAAACAUAAAAAUUCCAUUAGCUAUUAAUUCCACUUUAUCAGUCCAGCACAUGCGCCAAACAGAAAAUGCAGCUAAAAGUAUAGCCAAACACAAAAACACCUUUAGACAUAGAAGAGCUAGCAUGGGCUGAUGUUGAUUAGCCGAUGCAUACUUUCUGCAAAAACAUAAAAAAGGAUCAUCCAUUAACUGGUACAAAAAUCAGGAUCAUCCAUUUGACCUUCCUGUAGUCAACAGAUGAAACAAUGAAUGUCUAAACAUAUAAGCUACCAAACAAGAAAUAAAAAAUCAAAUUAGAAAUGCUAUUACACUGGACUAUAUUGCACUUCAGCUAAAAAUCCACUCAAAAUUAAACUUCAUUUUUAGCCAAAACAACUGAAAACUGAACUAAAAAUAUUUAGUCCUCCAAAAAACACAUCAUGAGACUCAACUGACCAAGUGACACAGCAUUUACAUCCAUACAUCUAGGGGUUGUACAUCUACAACAGCUCGCAGGCGUCAAAGGGGUCAAACCAGCUUACACUCCACACAUACUAUGUGCUAGAUUCAGCAUCUACAUUCAAAACAGGAGGGAUCCACAACGAAAACAACAUGACGGGUUGAACACAUCUAGGAGCUACUUGUCACAGUGACAACUACAACAGAAUCCGGAAGCACACAAUCAACAACAACAAAAAAACAGGAGGGAUCCACCACUACAUAUAUAUGCAUCGAACAAUACUCCUGCAACACCUGCAACAUCCAAAAGUACAAUGACAAUCCAAUAUGAAUUACACUGUAAAUCAACUAGCAAUUACACUGUAAAUCCACUCACAAAAUACACUGUAAAUCCAAGGCAAUUACACUGUAAAUCCACUCGCAAAUACACUGUAAAUCCAAGACAGUUAUAGUGUAAAUCCACUCGCAAAAUACAGUAUAUCCAAGGAAAUCCGCUUGCAAAUACACUAUAAAUCCAAGGCAAUUAUACAGUAAAUCCACUCACAAAAUACAGUAAAUCCAAGGCAAUUACACUGUAAAUCCACUCACAAAUACACUGUAAAUCGAUGUCAAUUACACAGUAAGUCAACUAAGAAUACAGUGAAAAACAACUAUGAAUUAUGCUGUAUAUCAACUUGAAAAUUACACUGUAGAUACACUUAUUUACACUGAAAAAUCCACUAUGAACUACACAGUAAAUCGCUGUAAAUCCAAGGCAAUUACACUGUAAAUCCAAAAGGAAUUAUGGUGCAAAUCCAAAAAGGAAUUACACUGCAAUCAACUGAGAAUUACAGUGAAAAACAACCAGGAAUUGCGCUGUAAAAUCUACUACAUAUCCACUAGAAAACACCGAAGAUACACUUAGUUACACUGAAAAAUCCAUUAUGAACUACACAAUAAAUCAUUGUAAAUCAAAAAUAGGAAGUACACUGUUAAUCACUGUAGAUCCAAAAAUAGGAAGUUCAAUGUAAAUCAACUGGGAAAUUACAUUAUAAAACCAAAAUAGGAAUUACAGUGAAAGCAACCUCAGAACCACUAAAAAUUUGAAAACCCCAACGAGACCCGUGCCAGAAAAAUGAUCUAGGGGAUUAUAACACUGGAGACCAGGGGAAAAAUUACAUCCAGCAAGUUUGAAUUGGCUCAAUACGGCAUACUGCUACAACUAAACAAGCCAACCUAUGAUUAACAACCAGCCGAAUUCGAUCAACAAACCAAUUACAAACCAAGUUAAGUUUAUACUCCCUUCGUCCCAUAAUGUAAGACGUUUUUUGACUCUAUUGUAGUGUCAAAAAACGUCUUACAUUACGGGACAGAGGGAAUAUUUUUUUUCUAUAAUUGCUUAUUCUUGAAUAUGACAUUCGAAACAGAACUCAAUUGCAUGUGUGGAAACAUAAGCACCAAUAUGAUCCCUGGUCAUUCUCUAAGACUAGCUCAUGUACUGAUGAUGAUCGUGUUUUGUCGAUCAUGAGCAUUGUUAAAGUCAAAAAAAUCAUGCUAUCAAUGCUCCAUUGUUUCCGGGGGAACCUCAUAUAUGGAGGAGGCUAGCAUUGACGGCGGCGCCCGUGGGCGUCGUAGCCCUUGUUGUAGGUGGUGGAGCGGCUCUUCAUCCUACACAUGGAUGGCGGUAGAUCUGGGCGGCAAUUGGUCGACUCUGCAGAGCGGCACUAUGGGUGAACUUACUAAGGGUGAUUCUUCGUUGUGCACUCUCAAUGAUGACUUUGCAGCGCAGCACAUUUGGUGUGACCUUACGAAGGGUGAUUCCUCGUAUACCACUCUCGAUGAUGUUUGUGUCGUGCAGUACAUCAAGUGUGAAUCUAUCAAGGGUGAUUCCUUAGUUUUCACCUUGAUAAUAUGGACCUGUCCCGACAACACCAAAUGUUAAAGACGGGUCGGUCCCAAGGGUACCUGAAUAAAAAUUUCGUUCAUCAAGUUCAAAAAAUGGUCAUUGAAUUUAAAAUAUGUUCAUUAAACACAAAAAAAUGUUCAUCAUUAUUAGCAAAUUUUCUUUAUUUCCAUUUUCUAUUUUUUACUUUUAUUUUUGUUAUUUUUAUUUUUUAUUUUCUUUAUUUUUAAUAAAAAAUGUUCGUUAAAAUUUGAAACGUCUUCACUCUUUUGAAAUCCGCGAACUUUGUUUUAAUUUAAGAACUCUUUUAGAAUAUGGUGAACAUUUUUUGAAUCCGUGAGCAUUAAUUAUUUUCUGAACAUUUCUUCAAAUCGUGAAAUAUUUUGAUUUUUGAAAAUUUCAGAAUUUGCAAAUUUUUUGAAGACGAAUUAGUUUGCAAAAUAAAAAGUAAAAAAUGGACAAAAAGCUCACUGGUUCCUAUAUGGCAAGUAGGGCGGCACCUAGCGCGCACCGCCAGGUCCCCUGCGCUCCUUCUGGAUCGGCCCUUGUGGGGCACGAGGUACCCCAGUUUUAUUUCAUUUAUGUUUUUUCUCUUUCAUUUUUCUUUUAGUUUUGAUUUUGAAUUUCUUCUUAAUCUCUGAUUUUUAUUUUUUUCUUGUUUUUCUCAUUUUUGUCUGCUGAAUUAUAAAAUUCCAUCUCAUUCAAAAUAUGUUCAUGAAAACGAAAUUUGUUCAUCAUAUUCAAAAUUUGUGCACCAUAAUUUUAAAAAAUGUUCAUCUAAUACAAAAAGUGUUCAUCUAGUUUUCAAAAAGUUAUGAUUUUCAAAAAAGUGUUCUUGAAUUGAGAAUUGUUUCAUCAAGUUCAAAAAAAUAGAAAAAUGCUAUCUUAGUGAAAAAAUGUUCAUCGUAUUCAAAUGUGUUCAGUGAAAUUUUAAAAACGUUCAUCAAAUUAUAAAAUGUCCAUCAAUUUCAAAACAAUUUCAAAUGUUUUGAAAAAUUGCAUCUGAUUUUUUCAGAAAAUGUUCUUGAAAUGAGAAUUGGUUCAUCAAGUUCAAAAAUUGUUCAUGAAAUUCAAGAUAUAUCAACUUAUAAAAAAUAUUCAUCAAUAUUCAUGCAAAUUAUUCGAAUUGAGGGAUUUUUUGGGCUAGCUCCACAAACUUAUUGAAAUUUGCCUUUUUUGAAUUUUGGAAAUAUUUUGAAAUCCCAAAUUAUAAAUAAAAUAAAAAUGAACAAAAUAUAAACAAGAAAAUGGGGGCUCCCCGCUGCCAGUCAUGGGCUGGCCCAAAAUGGGCGCGCGUGGGCAGCAGUGGUGCAUGCGGGUCCACUCUCUGGCACAUGCUGCGCCAAUUGGAAACUAGUUAACGACAUCAUUUAUUAAAUGAUACACUAAUGUAAAAUGAAAAACAACAUUUUUCUCAAUGAAAAAUGUAUAAAUGUUGUUUGUAUCCCACCAAGAGGUAAAUCAAAAUGGUCUCAUGAAAGGAUAUAUUCCCAUAAUUUCAAUGGGCAAAGAAAACACAUAAGUUCUCAUAUUGUUGAUUUUCGUAUUGUUCUCCUCUAGAAAUAGCCUUUUGAAUCAUGUUUCACUUUAUGGUCAUUGUCGGUGUUCUAGGAACGGGGGUACCCAGACUUGCCUGCCUGCGGCUUACGGCGUGGCUCAAGCAGUGGGCCAGUGCGGCCCAUCUUCAUCGACUCAAGCUCAAGACCCUCGCGAGGGACCAAGCCUCGCGGGGCGGACGACAUGAAGCUUCCGCAGGAGUAGCUUCGUCAGGCUGGCUCGCGAGGAGGCGGAAAGAUCAAGGCAGGGUAUCUCGUGAGGUGCCCGUGACGCAAGACAUGACGAUCAAGGCCAGGCAGGCGCCAGGCGGGCGCCGGCCUGUGCAGUGUCCUUGUUUCCCCUUUGGUGCAAAGGGAGAAAGCACAGGCCAAGGCAUCAGGCAAAGGCAACCAUUUCGGUGCAACAAGACCAAGACCAGAGGAACAGCUGGAAGGAGGUCAUCGUGGAGCCCAGGACAACGUCAUCGUCAGAGCCUUUGACAGUCGAGGACUGACUUUAGUUAGGAUAAGUGUACUAGAUGUCCCCCUUCAAAAUGGCCAAUUGUUGGCGCCCUUCCCGCUCAAUAUUUGGGAAGAGGACCAGGGCCUCUCGCUCUAUAUAUAGGACUAGCCACCAUAGUAUAGGGGGGGGGGGAAGAUCUGGCAUCUGGAAUCAAUCCAUCAAAAGGGACAACACCACCACAAGAACACCCCUCGCGAGGCUGUUUUUCCUUUGUACUAUUCAUCAUCAGUCCCAGAGGCAAUCCACCACACCACACACUGGAGUAGGGUAUUACACCACAAUGGUGGCUUGAACCAGUAUAAACCUUGCGUCACUUGUGCUGUUCAUCGUGUAGCCUAGAUCCUUUGCGAGGCGACGAGACGUGAGUUGGUAGGGGAGAGAUCUCCGCGCGCACCCCAGUGUUCGAACCUCAAGGGUCUGCCGGAACCCGCAAUCCAACAUUUGGCGCGCCAGGUAGGGGUCCGCCGGAAUCGUGUCUUCCGCCGUCUUGCGUUUCGCCGUCCGUCGCAUCCAUGUCCGACGCUCGCCGAGCCCGCGCCGAUCACCGGGCUGCUCUCGCGGCCCAUGUCGCCUAGACGGCCCCCGUUGGCGGGCCUCCCCGUCGUUCCCCGUCGCUUGCCGCCCACAUCGCCACCGGCCCGGUGGGGAACGAGCAGCAGGCUUCGUCGCUGCAUCCCUCGGUGCGGAGGGAAGGCCGCACCGCUACCCCGUCGCUGACUCUAGCAGGCUCGUCGUCGCAUGCUCGUCGCGCUCCCGCGGACGCGCACGCCGCGUUGCUGCUGGCACGUGAGCUCCUGCACUACUGCCCCGUCGACGAUCUCUACGACGAGUGGCUUGCCCACAUCAUUGAGCUCGUCAACGCUGCAGGGGGCUCCCCUGCGCCAUCCCUCUCACUGCUUCGCCCUCCGCCUUGUGUGGGCAACGCAGCUCCGGAGGCGCCUCUGCCGCCUCCCCCUCAAGAAGGCGCCUUGGCCCCAAGGCGCGCGGCCCCAGGACAGGAUCUGCCGUGCCCAGCGCCCGCGCAGCAAGAAAAGAGAUACCAAGAGAUCCCUCGCCCUCAAGAAGCUGCCCGUGUGCUCCCGGCACCAGCACGUCACGACCGCGCUCCUGCUCCAGCGCGCCAAGACCCUGCGUUGCUCCUGGCGGCAGCGCACGGGGACCUCCAAGAUCAAGCCCUUCGUCACCAAAGGCCUCAUGUGGCCACUGCAGGUUGCCGUGCCUUCACCGCCGAGCUGCGCAGCGUGGCCUGGUCGGGCAAGUUCAAGCCAGAUCCGCCUCCACGCUACGACGACACUACCGACCCCGCAGAGUUCCUCCAGCUCUACGAGUUGGGCAUCGAGGCGGCCAACGGGGACGAAAAGGUCAUGGCGAACUGGUUUCCCAUGGCGCUCAAGGAUGGCGCCCGUACAUGGCUCCUCAACCUGCCUCCCGGCACGAUCUCCUCUUGGGACGAGGUGCACACUCGUUUCAUCGUCAACUUCCAGGGCAUUCAUGACCGACCCCCGGCCAUGAGUGACUUGCGCCGCAUCAAGCAACAGCCAGGGGAGAUCCUGCAAAAGUACAUCCAAUGCUUCAACAACGCCCGCCUCAAGAUCCCCGGGGUGACUGAGGAGGCCAUCAUCUUAGCCUUCUCCGAUGGCGUUCGAGACGUCAAGAUGAAUGAAUAACUAGCAAUCCACGAGGACCUGUGCACCUCUCUGGAGCUGUUCAACUUAGAAACCAAGUGCGCCAGGGCUGAGGAAGGACGCCUCUCCCUCCUCGAGCUUCCAGCUGCCGAUCCGGAAGAGAAGAAGCCCAAGGUCAAGGACGUGAAGCGCAAAGGAGCAGUUGUGCUUGCUGCUGAGCCAGAUACCAAGCGAGGCAGGGAUCAGCCGGAGUCAUCAAAGGGCAGCCGGUACUGCGUGUACCACAACCUCCACACCCACAACACCAAUGAAUGCUAGGAGCUCAGGGCUGUGCGAGAUGAGCGUAUCGGCCGACGCCUCGAGCGCAACGAUCGGGGCUAUGGCCGAGGCGGAGGAAGAGGUGGAGGACGAUGGGAAGACCGUGGCCCUCGCCAGGGGUGGCGCAACAGACCUCGCGAGGAUCGCUGGCAGGAUCAGCCUCGCGAGGGAGGCUGGAGGGACCGGCCUUGCGAGGACCGCCCGCAAGGCAAUGCAGGCCUCCCUCCGCUGCCACCACCACCAAGGAGGAAUGAAGACCAACAUCGGGAUGAGGGGGCUGGGGGCUUCCAGGAACCAUGCGCAAUUGCUUGCAUCCUAGGUGGAGCUCAAGCCCCAGUCUCUCAGCGCAUCUUCAAGCAGAUUGCUCAUGAGGUGAAUGCCGUCCUCCCAAAAGCCGAAGCCUCACGCCCUCUCCGGUGGUCCACGUGCGCUAUCACGUUCAGUUCAGCGGAUCAACUCAAGUGCGCAGCAACAACUGGUGUCCUCCCAAUGCUCUUCUCCCGAGUCAUCAGCAAUGUGUAGGUCACCAGGACCCUCAUUGAUGGUGGAGCAGGACUCAACGUUCUGUCUGUCGAAACCUUCAAUAGUCUCCAAGUGCCAUAUGAUCAGCUUCAGCUAACCAAGCCCUUCUCAGGAGUCACUGAUGGUUCAACCACCCCGAUAGGGCAGGUCCGCCUCCCUGUCACCUUCGGACAGCGCAAAAACUACCGCACUGAGCUCAUCGACUUUGACGUCACCCAGAUUCGCCUUCCCCUACAAGGCCAUCUUUGGAUAUCCGGCCCUGGCCAAGUUUAUGGCAGUGACUCACCAUGGCUACAAUGUCCUCAAGAUGCCAGGAAGCGAUGGAGUCAUCACAGUCCCAUGCGAGGAGAAGGAUGCAGUGUGUUCUCUCGAGCGUGCCUUCCAGGCCGCGGCAAUCGAAGACCCAGAUCGCAACAGCGGGAGCCUUCCCAUGGCAGUCCCCAAGAAGAAGAAAACAUCACCUGGUCCGAACCAUCAGGAGGCUGGCACCUCCAGGGGCGUCGCGCCAGGAUCCACGCCCGUCAAAGGGGCGCCUCCCUCUGUCGCAUAGGAAGGCACACCCGGCGCCCUCCUCAGGCAGGGCUCAGGGGCUCUCUCCUGGAGGGCCACCGACUUUGCCAAGGUCAUGAGGGAGGCGCUCGGGCACCACUUGGAGGCGUGUUUCAAAGCACGUUUCCCUCAAGACGGUGUGAAGCAAGGAGGGCCCAACCUUCAGGAGUUCAUCGCAAGGAACAUUCAGGAGCUACAGGAGUCAAGAGUCAUGCACAGCAGCCGUCGCCUACCCGCCGUAGCCCCACAUCAAGGCAAGGAUGGUAGGCUGCGUGUCUGCAUCGAUGUACCAGGGCUCAACCGAGCCGCAUCUCAGGAGUGCCUCUGGCCUUCGCGCGUGGGACGCUGCGAGGGUCAACCCCACAGCCAUGUUCGCAUGCCUCUCGACCUGCCAAACGCGGUCGCCGCUCAUCAGCGCUUGCUGAGGAGCAUUCUGGAGGCUCAGGAGGUUAGGCAUUGCGCAGUCCUGGCAGAGAUGGAUAUGGUCCUUGAAGCGCCGCCUGCACCCCUAGAGCCUCCCGAGGCUCUGGGCCCUGGGGGCUUGUGAGGGUCGACCUCCUCACCACGUGUCGUCCGCUACUUCAGCAUCCCUUGAACUUCAACCAUAUCAGGUAACAUCUUUCAAAGUUCCAUUUCAGCUGGGAGCGCCCACAGGGCUGCAUCAUUCCCCGGUCGCGUGGGUCUGUCCCUGCGGCAUGUAUCCGUUUUGCUCAUGUUCUUUGCUUACCUUGUUGGGGGCGCCCUUCGGGCUACAUUAUCCCCAAGCCGCUCGGGCCUGACCCAGUGGCGUUUGCUUUUUCCGCAUCUAUCUAAAUGGAUUUGCUCCUUCAUGCUUAACAUGCUUGACCUAAUCGCGUGCUCGAUUGACACCUACCUUUGGAGCCGCUCGCUCUGACACAGCACUUGCGCACGGGUCCGUCCCUGCAACGCUGAUAAAUCGGAGUGGCUGAGCUCUGGCCACGGCAGCCCCGCAAGGCGCCACCUCACCAGGCCCUCAGUGCCCCAAUCACUCCCUUGGAGCAACCAAUGGUUGGCUGGCAACCGUAACAGCAGACCUCGUUUCCCCUCGUGAUUGGUGUGCAGGACCCACUCCAGAAGUAGCGCGGAGGACAUCGCGAGCUUCCUCUCCUCCUGCAUGAUUCGCUUGCACGCUAAAAGGGGGGCGCCUGAGCAUCGCGACUCAUGGGCUCUUACUGGCUCUCCAGCCCUCACCCCCUGGCCUUGACCCACGGCAUCGCGACCUGUCAUACCAGCGGCGGCUGAGCUCGCUCGAGGGCCGGGACCUGAGGACGUAGAGCAUUAAAGAAAGUAUGGGGGAGAGAGAAGAAGCUCACGAGGACCUAACCCAGCAACACCUCAGCUGCCGCGGCGCAGGCCCGACACUUCGCCGAAAACUACUCCAAACCUACAAGAUAAGUCACACCAAAACUGAUUCGACUCAGCGCUAAACCCUCGCCUACUGCAGCUCUGUCAUGGGAACAUUGCCUACCUUUCUUGCCCAGCGGAGGCUGCUUGAGCGCUAAAGGGGACCUCCUAAGUGUCGCGACUCAGGGGCUCUUACUGGACCUUGGGCCGCUCACCUCCUAGCCUUGACCAUGGCAUCGCGACCUAGCAUACCAGCGACGGCUGAAGCCUACCUGGGACCAGGACCUGUCAGCGUAGAGCACCAAGCCCUCGUGAGGAAAGAAAGGGGGAGCUGAGCCGGGACAGGACUAGCAUCUCGCAUCGAAUCAUAAUAAGGAUGUAUAUUCACAAAAGACAUGGCCAUCGCCUUACAUACCCCCGCGGGGUGGUAUUUCGAUUCCUCGCAGGGAACAAAAGGUGCUAAUCCUAAGGAGCGUUAGCUACGCGCGCCUCCGCGGGAGACGCCAUCAUCAACAGUGGGCCAUCAGGUGCCAGCGCCAACCCCAUCCAGAUCAGCAGCGCCGGCGGCCCGAAGCACCCGCCCUGCUCUGAGCGCAACACGAGCUCGGGGGCUCAUAGCUGUCGUCGCUCGUCUUUGGAGUCGCUGGACCCUCCAACACGGCCGCUGCUGCCUGAGGAUCUGCUGGAAAGGUGGGCAGCAGGCCUGACCCUCGCCUCUCCGGAGCUCCGGCCGCUGCCUCUGGGACAGUACUCCAGCCGGUGUCCGUCCUCGUCGAAGACCUUGAAGAACAUCAGGGAGGUACCAUCGUACUCCAGGUGGAUCCCGAAGGUGCCCUCCGUUCGGUAGGCCCUGGCGAUCUCGCCCCAGCCUCGGGUCAUGCAGACCUUGCCCGAGGCGGCGACUUCGACCUCCGCUUUGGUCGCGGGGGUGCGGCAGUCGGCGUGCUGCAGCCGGAGCUCCCGAGGCCCCUGUUGGUAUCAAAACCGGCGGAUCUCGGGUAGGGGGUCCCGAUCUGUGCGUCUUAGGCUGAUGGUAACAGGAAGCAAGGGACACAAUGUUUACCCAGGUUCGGGCCCUCUCGAUGGAGGUAAAACCCUACUUCCUGCUUGAUUAAUAUUGAAGAUAUGAGUAGUACAAGAGUAGAUCUACCACGAGAUCAUAGAGGCUAAACCCUAGAAGCUAGCCUAUGAUGGUAUGAUUGUAAUUGUGAUCGGCCUUCUAAAGACCAUCCUCUCCGGUUUAUAUAGACACCGGAGAGGGCUAGGGUUUACAUGGAGUCGGUUACAAGGAAGGAAAUAUAAUAUCCGGAUUGCCAAGCUUGUCUUCCACGCAAAGGAGAGUCCCAUCCGGACACGGGCCGAAGUCUUGAGUCUUGUAUCUUCACGCUUCAAUAGUCCGGACGAUGUAUAUAGCCCGGCUGUCCAGAUACCCCCUAAUCCAGGACUCCCUCAGUAGCCCUUGAACCAGGCUUCAAUGACGAUGAGUCUGGCGCGUGGUCUUGUCUUCGGCAUUGCAAGGCGGGUUCCUCCUUCCGAAUGCUCCAAGGUUUUUAUCGAACACGUAGACCAUGUCCGGAUCUGCAAGAUGAUCUUCACAUACCGCUGUAGAGAGAACGAUAUUUCAAAAAUGUACCCUACUGAUAACUUUUUAGACAGUGCGACAUGUCAUCAGGGUCAGGUCGUUUUCCCACGUCCAGCCUCAGCGUAUAUUGUGAGGCGGUUUCCUUGGCAUGUCUAUCGAAGCAAAAGAUCAUGUCCCCUUAUUACGGGAUUCUCAUCAAUACGGGUGUGGGUAAUCCAACCGCACCGCUAAUUGCGGUGAGUGGGAGGUGAGCGGGUUCCACCAGGCAAGUGGGGAGGCGCAAAAAGCUUUUACCAUCUCUUAUAAAGAGAUAAGGUCUCUUCCUCUUUACCCACGCCUUCUCCUUCCGCUAACUCAUUCCUCUCUGCUCGAGCCCUAACGCCCAAGCAUUCUUCUUUUCCAUCAAAGAGAGGUCUUCCAAAGAUGUCCGGAUCCGGAGCAGGAGGCAAAUGGAUGGCCUCUACCAUCUGGGAGAAGGAUAUCAAGAAGCUCCAGGAAGCCGGUUAUCUGGCCAAGAAGAUUGGCCACCAUCUUCCACCGGCGGCACAGGUCGUCCCCACUCCGGAGCCUUGCGAGAGAGUCGUGUUCCUUCCCCAUUUUGUCCGUGGGCUCGGGUUUCCCUCCACCCAUUUGUCCCUGGGGGUCAUGUAUUACUAUGGGAUUGAUUUUCAUGAUCUUUCCAGCAACUCUUUUCUUAAUAUCUCGACGUUCAUCAUUGUGUGUGAGGCUUUUCUCCGGAUUCCGCCUCACUUCGGCCUGUGGCUGAAGAUUUUCAAUGUGAAGCCCAAGGUGGUGAGUGGCGAACAUGCCGAAUGCGGCGACGCCAUGGUGAGCAAGAUGCGCAAGGUCGUUUGGCAGAAGGGAACCUUCAACGACUCCGUCAAGGAGUGGCAGCAGCAAUGGUUUUAUAUCACCGAACCACGCGGCAAAAAGUGGGCUGCACCUUCUGAGUUCAGAUCCAGAGCGCCACUGCGGCUUACGUCCUGGCCCAAGAAGGUCCCGAACUGGACCUCGUCCGAUGAGCUAUCACUGCUCCAGGCGCGCGUUCAGAGAGUGGUCGACAAGGACGUCAAACUCGUCGGUGUAGUUCAGGUGAUGCUAGUUCUCCUAGUUCUCCCUUGCCAGCGCCGAGCCUGCACUUUGUGGGAGUUCGACCCAACCGAGCACCAAACCCUUCGGGAGCUCUACGACUCCUCCUACGGGGAUAUCUGGAAGGUGCUCUUCAAGUCCGGCAAAUCAUGGCCGGACUCCACCGAGGACCGGGGGUAUCAAUUAUCCCAUUCUACAAGCCCAGUAAGUUACCGCCACGCCCUGUCCAUCCGUGCUUCAAUUGGCAUGUCAUGAGGGAGACAUUUUAAUCGUGUUUCAUCAUGACCUCAGGGAUGGAUUAAGAAGGUGGAGCAGAUGCAUUGUCCGGCCCCGCUGCUGGAGGAACCGGCCGGACCUCUUCUAACGAAGAUGCUGGUCCCUGCGCCUUACGAGGCGCCAAAGAAGGAGGACUCCAAGAAGGUCAAGAAGACCCGGAGUGGCCUCCCUCGCCGCGAGGCUUCGUACACCAAUUCCGAAGACUCCAGCGAUGCUCCUUCUUCCGAAGACGAAGAGGAGGAAGGAGAGGAGGACGUGCCUCACUCUGCAGGUGGGAAGACGCGUGUGGCUUCCUCGUCCCUGGAGGCCGAAUCGCCCAAGAUGGGGAGAGGGUCCCAUCCAGAGACAUCCCCUCGGCUGCCGAUAACGGCUCGGAGUGGGAUCCCAGAGCCCAGCCCCUGGAAAGAUCGUAAGUAACCGAGUUCCGAAUGUGCCUAUGCAUCCAGGGACGUCUAGGUAUAGUAGUUUUAACUGUCGCCACAUCUUGUACAGCCCGGCGAGAUCUCCUGCCGGACAGUCCUCAUCGGAGGAUUCGUUGAGCUCGGAUGCUGUGGCGAGCGAGAUGCCUCCGGGGGCUCCUUUUUCGAAGUCCAGGCGCGACACCGAGGUGUCGUCUCAAAGAAAUCUAGAGCCGGAUAAGGUCCUGGAGGCCUCUAAGGCUCCAGGAUCGGGCGAGCGGCCACCCUCCAUGGAGGGAGGUUUGCCUACUCCGCCGGCAACCUCUGUCUAUGCAGAGCUGCCGGGCGGUCUAUCGACAGCGUUAAAGAACGCGUCUAUCGUCGAUGAACAUCGGACCCUCAUGGGUGCGGUGGUUGGAAAGAUUCAGUCUGCCGAAAGCGGGUUGAAUGAGUCAUGCCUUGUCUUAUAAAGGCUUUUGAGGUAUGGUUUCUAAGAAACCUUUGAGGAAUCAUCAUAAUAUGAGUAGUAGCCCCUGAUACACUAUCUGGCGAAAGAUAGAGAGCCGGGUAGGGGAUCAACUCCUCUUUUGGUGUGAACCUUUGUUAAUGACGUGUACCCCUUUUUUUGAAAACAGGCGUCUGCGGAGAAGACGGCCGCUCAUCAGGUGGAAGUGUCUGAACUGAAGCAGAGCCUGGAACGGGCCGAGGAAGAACUUGGCCGUGUGAGGAAGCAAUUAGAGGAGAAGCAAGGUAUGUUUAAACAAUGUCUUGCAUUAGGCACGAAUGAGUAAUUGUGCCUAUUGAAAAGUAUUUGUGUUGUACGCCCUAGGAGCGAGUGCCGAAUAUGAGGCGCUGAAGAAGGUUGUGGCUGAUGCCAACAAGAAGGCUGCCGCCGAACAGGCGCUUCAUGAAAAACACGAGGCCAGGGUCAUCACAGCUGAACGAGAGCUCUAGGAGGCUGUGACGAAAAGCGAGAGCGUGGAGCAGACUCUAAUAGGGAAAGAAUCCAAACUUUCCCAAGCUCUCCAAGCCGCGGAAGAUGCUCGGGAAGAGGCCCGAGGUGCUGUACGGGACAUUCAAGAGGCCCGGAAAGUUACGGCUGGUAAGGCCUGUUGUAUUCGUGGCCAUAAUUACAUGAUAGUGGGGAGAACUCUAAGCGGCAAGCUGAAUUCUUUGAUUUUACAGGGGUGUUUGCGGAUCUGCCUCGCAGCAUAUCAGACGCUGCCCAAUUCUACCGUACCGAGGAGAGGAAGUCUGCGGAGAGGAGCUUCUGGUCACAUUAUUUGGCUCCAAACUAUCCGGUUCCUUUUAUCGAUCAGCUGAAGCAGCUGGUCGAACUGCACCAGGUGGCCGAACUAGCCAUGAAGGACUUGGUUGUCCGGCUGUGGCCUGCGGAGCCAAUUCCGAGCAGUUACUUCGGACUCGUGAAGCGGAUUGUGGGCGCUUGUCCUCGGCUUGAUGCUAUCAAGCGACCAGUCUGUAUAGAGGAUGCACGCAUGGCAUUGGCCUAUGCAAAAGUGCAUUGGGGCAAGCUUGAUACGGAGAAGCUGAUGAAUGAGGGGCCGCCGGAGGGCAAGGAGCACCGCAAUCCCGAACUGUAUUAUGAAGGUGUACUAAAGGGGGCCCGCCUUGUGGCGGAUAAGUGUACCAAAGACAUUAUGUUUCCCUGAGGGCAUUCAUACCGAUAUUUGUAAUAUGGGAUAAUGUCGCUUUUAUUAUAUAUUGCCUAUUUUGUUUGAACAUAUGUUCUUCCCGUGCGGCUGUUUAUUGUAUCUAAAUUCUGAGAGUUGGCCAGUCGUCGGCUUCAGUCCCCAUGUAAAAAUACGGGGGUGUUCGGGAUAUAUCUGAACACUCUUUAUCCCAUGCUUGGGUCCUUUUAAGGAGGUGUUUCUCACCACGAACCAGGCAAUCGGACUAUAUGGCUUUACUACUCUCACUUAGCCAUAGGAAUUCGAGUAUGGUCGGCGCAUCCCCUAGUGUUCGGAAGGCCGAACUAGGGGCUCUAUUGGCGCCUGAUCGGAAGACCGAUCCAUCGCAAUCUGCAUUUAUAGUGGCGUUAUGCGGAAUAAAUCUUUAAGGAUUUUGCAACCUCUCGAACAGCUGACCAGCUCUCGCUGCAUCAUGACAGUCAGUUUUUGGCUUUCUCUACUGAGGUGCUCGUCCGGCAGAACCGGGACACAAUCGUAGUAGUUCUCCCAGCGCUACCUUAGCCGACGGAACGGAACGUAAGGUACCAAAACAUGGGAGCCGGGCAAACCCAACCAAUGACCCAAGACAUGAUUCGGAGCUGAUGCAUAUAGUGCUAUAAGUUCGGGGUGCCGAGCGACCGAGAAGGUGGCCGGACUUUUUUGCCGUAUUAUGAAGCCCCUGGCACAACCGGGCGUAACACGAAGUGUGGCUGCCGUUUUGUGGCAAAUAGGCGUUGAUGAUAAGAGACGGCCAAUACGUGUUAUUUAAGUCUACGCAUUGUAGCAAGUAAUAUGGCUAUGCAUAUGAGUGCGAUUUAUGAUUAUGAAAAGAGAUGGUUUUUGGCGGAACCUGUGAUAGCCGGACUGUAGGGGGCUGUUAGAGGAUCGAGAGUGUAUCUGAACUGCCUUUUACCUGAAUGGUCCUGUCCCUUUGUGUCCGGUCCGAUUCCACGCCGCCGGUCCUGUUCUGCAUCAAAGUUAAUUUGUGAAAGCAAAUGCUUGGAGGCAGCCGAACGUCCUCUUGUGGUUGGUCUAAAGGUUCCUGAUCGGAGCCUGGUGACCCCAGCCGCUAUACCGUGAAGCAGCGCAGACUCCUCAGUUGGUGUCCGGAUAGUUGGCUGUCAUAUCAAAAUUUUGAUAGACAUGCAUGACUUGCUACUCUGGCAGCUGUAUGGUUUCCGCUCUAAGAGCGGGGUUUCGGCCUUGUGCAUAGGCGUGAGUAUAUCACCGGCGUUGGCCUAAUGGUCUACCACGUGGAAUCUAGUCAACGUGGUUCAUCCUGUUAGCAUACGGUGGCUUACCGUACGAGGGAAAUGCGCCGAUAGCAUGACACUUUUUGGUUAUCUGAGAACAAUCCUCAGAGCCGUGGGCCAAAAACUUGGCCUUUGCGCCUGACAUCUUGUAGAAGGUGUUUAUUUGUACAUUCAUACCCGCGGGGGUUUAUGUGUUAUGGAGCCCCUGGACUACUAGGUCUAGGGGUAUGACAAUUGAAUUGAUGUGGUUUGUAUGAUAGGGGGCGAUCGGCCGUACUAUUGUGCUCUGGGGGGGGGGUCUCUUAACUAGACGCCUCCCUUCAUUGUUUCUGGCACACGACCUGUCGCUUUGUUUUGAGGAUCCGGCAUUCUCUAUUGGUAUGCCUUGCCGUCCUUCUAGGAGUACCGUGAAUUUCACAUGGUUGAUCAAGUAUGUGGCUCGGGCCAAAUAGGCUUGAGCUGUUAUUUGUCUUUUGACCGGACUGGGAGUUGCUGGACUUGGCGCCAGCUUCCCUGACUUGACAUUUAUUACCAUUGCGCCGAGGCUUGAGGAUGCCUCUUCGUGUAUCCUUCUUACUGUCUUGGGCCGUAGUGGUGUGUGGACGUCGUGUUGUGUGCCUUUGGUUCUCCUGCUUAGGUUGAGGUAGCCAGUUGUGCCACGUAUGUCCUUUGUUAGGGCGGUCGAAUCCGUACUUUUCGGUGGCCAGGAUCUUGGUUCACCUAUCUGCUAGUAAAUCUUGGCCAGCUUUAAGCUGUUCUUGCUUCCUUUGCAGACUCCUUGCCAUGGCUAUGAGCCGUCGCUUGAAGCGAACUUGUUCCGCUGGAUCUUCAGGCACGCCGAAUUCGUCAAUGCCGAGGCUUACCUCGUCUUCGGAGGGGGGGUGUAUAGUUGUCCCUCUCCAAGUAUCCCACCAUGGCCGGUCCGGCCUGCUUGAAGGUAAGCUGAUCAGGGCUGUACUCCUCUUCGGCACCAUUCGGAUUGCUUUUAUCUCCGGGGCCGGUAUUGAUGUGGCGAGGCUUGGAGCGGUGCCGAAGACGCCCAUGCUUUGCUUUUUCUCCUGAGGGGUUAUCCUCCACCGCCUCGUCGCCAUUGGUUUCCUCCGGAGUGUCCACCAUAUAUAUAUCAUAUAAAGAGGCGGCUGUUCACCGCCCUAUUAGCGGUUCCUCCUGUAUGUCUCCUGCAUCGUCUUCCAUAUCGUCGAUGUCUUCGGAGUCGAAGUUAAGCACGUCGGUUAAAUCAUCGAUCGUGGCGAUGUAGUGGGUGGUUGGUGGGCAGCGAAUUCCUUCGUCACCUGCUUCCCACUCAAGCCGGACAUAGUUCGGCCCAGAGCCUCCUGACAAAGAGGGAGACUUUAAUGAGUUCAGCAUGUCGCCAAAGGGCAAGUGCUGAAAAAUGUCCGCAGCGGUAAACUCCAUUACUGGUGCCCAACCUGGAUUGGCUGGCUCGAGGGUGUGCGGACCGGAACCAACAGCCGGAUGUGAGUCCGGGGGCCCAAGGUUACAGGCCUCCACAGAGAUGAGACCUGUGUUCGGCUCCACCGCUGAUGGGUAUGCGGCCUGCGGGACAGGGUCCACCCCUCCGUCUUUAGGCAACGCGACCUGCUCCGGAUUUACCAGGGCUACUGCGGGGAUGAUAUCCCGAGCAUUGUCCGACAGCAGGUCUAGGCCAUGCAUGUCGUGACUGUCCGGCGCUCCUGGCUCAGGCCCGAAUCCGUCGAAGAUCAAGUCUCCAUGAAUGUUCGCCGUGUAGUUCAAGUUUCCGAACCUGACCUGGUGGCCAGGGGCAUAGCUGUCGAUCUGCUACAGAUGACCUAGCGAAUUGGCCUGCAUUGCAAAGAUGCCGAACACAAAGAUCUUUCCGGGGAGAAAAGUCUCGCCCUGGACAGUGUUGUUGGCGAUUGAAGAUGCCAUCAAGCCUCAAAGCGACGACACAGAGGAACUCUCAAUGAAAGCACCAAUGUCGGUGUCAAAACCGGCGGAUCUCGGGUAGGGGGUCCCGAUCUGUGCGUGUUAGGCUGAUGGUAACAGGAAGCAAGGGACACAAUGUUUACCUAGGUUUGGGCCCUCUCGAUGGAGGUAAAACCCUACUUCCUGCUUGAUUAAUAUUGAAGAUAUGAGUAGUACAAGAGUAGAUCUACCACGAGAUCGUAGAGGCUAAACCUUAGAAGCUAGCCUAUGAUGGUAUGAUUGUAAUUGUGAUCGGCCUUCUAAGGACCAUCCUCUCCGGUAUAUAUAGACACCGGAGAGGGCUAGGAUUUACAUGGAGUCGGUUACAAGGAAGGAAAUAUAAUAUCCGGAUCGCCAAGCUUGUCUUCGACGCAAAGGAGAGUCCCAUCCGGACACGGGCCGAAGUCUUGAGUCUUGUAUCUUCACGCUUCAAUAGUCUAGACGAUGUAUAUAGUCCGGCUGUCCGGAUACCCCCUAAUCCAGGACUCCCUCAGCCCCCUCGGCGGAAUCUCGAAGGUGAAGGAGGGAGGAAGGCGAAUCCAAGACCGAGGAGGCAUGGCGGCGUGAAACACGAACUCGCGGGAGGAGUUCGUGGCAUGGACUCCAUGAGGGCUGACACGCACCGCCGUGAUCCGUCGGCGACGCCGGCGACGCGGGCGGCGCCGCUCGGCGCCCUCUUCUCCAGGGCCCUCGAUUCAGGCGUACAAGGGCAGCGGAAACCUCGAUGGUGGCCGCUCGUACCAAGGCCUCGAUGCCCCCUGCCGAGAACCCUCAUCUCGGCGGAAGGGAGCUGGCUGUUUCUUCGGCGGAAAUGGGUAGGGACCCUCUCGGGGGGCCUUCCCCUUCUCUUCUGCAGAAAACCGGCGGAUUGGCGUCAUUGUCGACAAAACGGAGGAGGAGUGAGGAAGAAGAGGCGAAGCAAGGAGAGAUGGACAACGGGGGCUCUCGCCCGCCCGUACUUAUAGUCCAGAGGAGGCCAACCGUCGGCCUCCACGACCUCAGGUUAUCAUGACCCGCUUUUGCAUGCAGGGACUUGUCAAGUCGGACAGUUGCCGAGGCGUCGUGGGGAAGUGGAGAUGCCCACGCCCAAUCAACCGCCAUGCAGCGCCCAAGGCCGCAGGCUGUUGGGGCCCGUGGCGCUUCGCACUUGCCCCUUUGCUUCUCUACUAAGCCAAGUCCAGGUGCGCCUUGGGCCCGGGGGCUACUAUCAGCGUUCCGGGAAUGGGGGUACCCAGACUUGCCUGCAUGCGGCCUGCGGCGUGGCCCAAGCAGUGGCCCAGUGCGGCCCAUCUUCAUUGACUCAAGCUCAAGACCCUCGCGAGGGACCAAACCUCGCGGGGCGGACGAUAGGAAGCUUCCUCAGGAGUAGCCUCGUCAGGCUGGCUCGCGAGGAGGCGGAUAGAUCAAGGCAGGGUACCUCGCAAGGUGCCCAUGACGCAAGCCAUAAUGAUCGAGGCCAGGCGGGCGCCGGCCUGCCUAGUGUCCUUGUUUCCCCUUUGGUGCAAAGGGAGCAAACACAGGCCAAGGCAUCAGGAAAAGGCAACCAUUUCGGUGCAACAAGACCAAGACCAAGGAAACGGCCGGAAGGAGGUCAUCGUGGAGCCCAGGACGGCGUCAUCGUCACAGCCUUUAACAGGCGACGACCGACUUUAGUCAGGAUAAGUGUACUAGAUGUUCCCCUUCAAAAUGGCCAAUUGUUGGCGCCCUUCCCGCUCAAUAUUUGGGAAGAGGACCAGGGCCUCUCGCUCUAUAUAUAGGACUAGCCACCAUAGUAUAGGGGGGGGGAUCUGGAAUCUGGAAUCAACCCUUUGAAAGGGACAACACCACCACAAGAACACCCCUCGCGAGGCUGUUCUUCCUUUGUACUAUUCAUCAUCAGCCCCAGAGGCAAUCCACCACACCACACACUGGAGUAGGGUAUUACACCACAAUGGUGGCCUGAACCAGUAUAAACCUUGCGUCCCUUGUGUUGUUCAUCGUGUAGCCUAGAUCCUUUGCGAGGCGACGAGACGUGAGUUGGUAGGGGAGAGAUCUCCGCGCGCACCCCAGUGUUCGAACCUCAAGGGUCUGCCGAAACCCGCAAUCCGACAGUCAUUGAGUCCGUGCGCUCAUAUCAACCUUGCAUGCGUCACUAUGUAUGUGCGUAGAAAUAAAGUUUGGAGGCGAUCUUUGUGCAUUACCGCAUCUAUGCAUAGAUAGAGAGUAUGUAUGCGGGAAUACUUGCGAUCCUCAUAAUUACCACGUCUAAUCAAAUAUAUCCUAGUAACAAACAAAUUUCUUUUAUAAAAAAUAAGCGUAUGCGCGCACGCACACACACACGGGUGUAGGGAAUUAUUUACUUAGUCCUCAUAUAACUUAUAUUUUUUUCUCGAUAAGAUGAGUAUAUAUCUUUCCUGGUUACCCAAGCUUCCAUAUAUGUAUUUUAACCUUGGUGGGAUUAUUUUUCGCAGAGGUGACAUGAGCCCUGAGAGUAGCUUAAGACAUCUCUAAGUAACUAGAUUACUGGAAAACAUCUUUAUUGAUAUCAAUUUAUUAAAUAAACUUAUUCAAUAUUGCAUGGCUCAAGCAGGAGAACAGGCAAUUAUAUUAUUGUUCUAUACAACAACAAUUUGGAAUUUGAACAUUAUGGGUCUUGCAAUAGUGCCUGAAUCGGUGAUGCAUUAUAUGAUUACACAUGUCUUCGCACCUCGGGCUAUCACAGGGAUUGAGAGUCUCACAAACCACAUUAUGAACAGAUUCUGCAAAUGCAACAUGUACACAUAGAUCAAACAAGCUAUAUUAGCAAUGUGUUGACUAAUUUGGACAAUAGGAAAGUUCACAAAAAAUAGGGGUAUAAAAUGCUACAUACCAGUGCCUGCAUGGCAGGAUGGGAAGGUAGAACACAUCAUAGAAAGCACCAUGAAAGCUAUAGCUAUGGAACGCAUGACUGUCGUCCAUCCUGUAUUGUUCUUAGCGAGUGCCAUGAGGACAAAGAGAUUA
rnacentral:lncRNA from 1 species